rnacentral:lncRNA from 1 species
UUUUUUUUUUUUUUUGAGAGAUAGGUAGCACGCUACCCGCUUCGUUUAUUUCAUCUAGAAAUAAACUAAGCUGGAAAUGUGAAUCAACUAGGAUUCGAACUUGGGACCUCGGGUACCAACCACCAAGCCCUUUGCCACUUGCUCUAGGGACGGUCGGUUAUGAUCUCAAAUAUUGAACUUGAAAAUUUGAGGGCUGAAAUGGAACUUGCUAAAAUUUUAGGGAUUAGUGCAAUUUAUUGUAUAAUUAAUCAUAUAACAUGAAAUGCUUUUCUUUCCCCCUUUCUGCAGAAGCAUUUGGUGCUCUCAAGCUUGCCGAAGAAAAGUUCCCAUCUGUAUCAAAAUCACGCAUCCAGCUACUUAAGCUACAGUUGCUUCAUGAGCGUUCGUUACAUCGGUAUGGUUGUUGAAGCUUUUAUUUGGCUUAUUGAUUACUUCCAAAUUUGCCAUUAUACACUAAAUUGAGUCUAAUCCAGAGGACAUCUGAAAUUUGCUCAACAAGUUUGCGAUGAGUUUGGUGUUUUGGCAUCAUGUGUUAGUGGGGUAGAUAUGGAGCUGAAAACAGAGGCUAGUCUUCGCCAUGCUCGAACUCUACUAGCCUCUAACCAGUUUAGCCAGGUUCAACAUUUAUUUCCUUGUCAACUUUGUCUGGGACCCUGCUUUUUUCUAUUCACAAUUGCAAAACUGACAAGAAUGUCUUACCCUUAUCCUCAUGAGUGAUUUUAUUUACCAGUGUAAAUCUAGUUAAUUUCUUACAAGGGAAAUUUAAUUUCCAGGCAGCAGCUGUGGCUAAUUCUCUUUUCUGCACAUGCUACAAGUACAACAUGCAGGUUGAGAAUGCUACUGUUCUUCUAUUACUUGCUGAAAUACACAAGGUAAGAGAAAAUGGUCAUUGACGCUCUCUUUCUUCCUUCCAUCCGUCCUUUCUUUCUUUCUUGUAUUCUUUUUUCAUUUUUUUUAUGAGCUAAUGGGGAGUAUGAACUCCCUACCCAAAGCCUCCCUCUGCCUUGACAUUGUGGUACGAGCUGCUUGCCUAGCUGUUAAAUGUUGUUGCCAAUUUUGUUUCAUGAUGUCAUUAUUGUUAUUUUUAAAUUUUUUCCAUAGAAAUCAGGCAAUACUGUUCUUGGGCUGCCUUAUGCCUUAGCAAGUCUGUCAUUCUGCAAAUCGUUCAACUUCAAUCUACUCGAAGCUUCUGCUACCCUGACACUUGCUGAAUUAUGGUUAUCUCUUGGACCGAGCCAUGCAAGGAGAGCCUUGAGUCUUGUGCAUCGAACUCUUCCAAUGAUUCUUGGUCAUGGUGGACUAGAGCUGCGUGCUAGAGCCAAUAUUGCUGUAGCAAAGUGCCAUUUAUCAGAUCCAAUGUUUUCAAGUAUAUAUCCUCUUUUCCUUUUAGGUAGUGUCUAUGACCAUUGUACCGUAUUUCCACAUUUCGUGAUAUUCUAACCUUUUCUUCCCCCAGUUUUUAAAGAUCCCUCUAUUGUGCUGGAUCCUCUAAGUCAAGCAGCUGAAGAACUGCAAAUCUUAGAGGUGAGUGACCCUUGGCUGCUUCAAGCUUUGGAUGAGAUUCUUUCUUGUUUUUUUAGUGAGUUGUGACUGCCAUGAGACGGUAGUAGCUCAAUUGCUAAAUAGUAAAACUAAAUUUCCGUUUUCUAUGUAGUAUCACGAAAUGGCGGCAGAAGCAUUCUAUUUAAUGGCUAUGGUGUACAGUAAAAUUGGAAUGCUAGGCAAAAGAGAGGAAGCUGCAGCAUCUUUCAAGAAGCAUGUUUGUGCUCUUGAAAACCCAAGGGAUGAAGAAGACUCACUUGCGUACAUGUUUUGAGAAGACCAUGCAUUAUUUAUGUUCCAUAUAUUAUUUUAUUUGGUGCAUAUUAAUUCUGUGCUCUUAAAUGGCCUAGAAAUCAGCAAUAGCCAUUAACCCUAGAGGUAAAAUUGCUGCUGCUCCCCUUUCUGUGCUCUUAAUUUUUGGAUACAUGGAUACAUGUUACGUAUGCUAUCUUUUGCAGCUGAGCUAAUGAUUUUUGGUACUUGUGGUUGUGGAUAGGUUGCAGCAAGUGAGAUGCAAUUGGUAUGGUUCCACUGCACUUUCAUGUGUGACAGCAUUUCCUCGCUGCGCCUGUAAGUUUCAAUUUUCUUGAAGUCAUUUUCUAACUAUACUUCUAAUUAAUUAUGUUGUUUGUAUAUUAUUUUGCAAUAGUCCUGCCUUUUUUUUCCCCACUUUAGCGAAUCCUAAACCACAGAGAGAAACAUCAACAGAAAAUGUGAUGGGACAGUCUACAUACUAAUAAUUAGACAAAAACUUGAUCAUUCGAAUUAUGGAGAAGAAACAUGAAGAUCAGCAAUAAACAAUGUCCAAACUAAAUAUAGAAGAGAACAUGUGGAGAAUUACAUGAUACAACUCCCAACCUAAUUACAACCCUUCGAACGCAAACAAAUCAAAGCCCCAAUGCCAAAAGAAAAGAAAAGAAAAGAAAAGUAAAUAUAGAACUAGAACAUAUAAAACCGUAGGGAAAAUCUAUCACCAAACCUCUCAAUUUCUCUGCACCCAAGCUCCAAACCUUUAAUCUAAGCUUAAGGAGAACAUCCACAGCUUCGGCAGCUUUUAGCUUCAAUCCGACAACUUUGCAUCUGCAGACUGGGUGCACAGGGAAUUUUUUAUAACCAUGCCAUUUGACCAUCCGCCUAAGAAUAGGAUUGAUCUUGGAGGAUUUGUUAGAUUUAUAAUUAUCUCAAUUAGAAUUUGAAUUAAUUUAAACUCUAUCAGUAAGAUUGGGUACAUUCUUAGCCGAGCUUGUACGGCUGAUUAGUGAGGACGUGUGUGGUUUGUUGGCGGCCAUAGAUUUUUGGAUGUAUGUAAAGAAAUCCCCAGCUUUUGUACCGCUGAAUCAGCUGAGAUUAAAAAUUCCGCUCAAAGUCAAAAUUUUCAGUUGGAUCCUACUGCGCAAAAGAUUACUUACUGCCGACAGGUUGAUUCGCCGAGGGUGCCUUGUGGAUCAGCAUUGUAUUUUUUGUGCGGUGUUUUCAGAAAGCUGCGACCAUCUUUUCCGUGAUUGUGUUUUCGUCAAAUUCCUCUUAAUUAGUGUGGGAGGCCCUGUUGUAGGUGAACCGCACUCCGGGGAUGUUCGGUGUUUAUGGAAUGAGACAUUGAGCAUCCCUACUACCGUGUUAAGAUCUAAAUGCUUAACCCGUUUAGUGGCAAGCUGGUGGGUUGUCUGGACCGAGCGCAAUAACACUAUCUUUCGUGAGAUACCUCCCAAUGCUUCUAGGGCUCUUGAACGCGUUGUUGCAUUGACGAAAGAUUGGUUAGAUGUUCCUUGAGUCUUCUCUCGGCCGUCCUGCUCGCUCCGUCCUGCUUGCUCCUUCCUUUGUCUUUUUUUCCUUUUUUCUUAGCUCUUUGCCCGUCUACAUCGGCUUGACGGUGUGUGUAGGGGUGUUUACUACUGGUUUUUGGGUUUGGUUUUUGGUUUUAGUUUUUUCUUGUCGGUUUUUUUAGGAGGCUCUAGCUGUCUCCAACUUGUAAGCUUAGUUCAUCCUACCUAAUGAAUGAAGCAGGUAGCGUGCUACAUUUUUCUCAAAAAAAAAAAGAAUCAGCUGAGAUUUUAUUCUCAAUAGCACAUCUAAGGAAAAGGGAAUCGGGGAAUGCCAGAGACAUUCGAAAGGAAACUGAAGGUCUCUAGGAUGAUGAAGAGAAGACCAGACAGGGAAUAUUGAAAAAUCGCCUUUAGAAGUGUGAAUCCAAACAAGAUUGUCCGCCUGCUCUGGCUGUUUAAUCGUGGGACCGUCGAAGGAUUUCUGCUACUACAUCAGGUAGGUGGGUAUACUUAGGUCUCUUCGAGCUUUUGCUGAAGAGAUGGAUUUAUAAUAACAAUGCAAUUUAAUGCUUCUACUGUGAAAUAGUAACAAUAGGUAUGAAGAGAUGGAUUUAUAAUUAAAAAACAAUUUAAUGCUUCUAUUAUGAAAUAGUAACAAUACGGUAUCAACGAUUAGCAUUAGAGCCCGUUGCUGAUUCUUAACCGGAAAUCCAUUCUUAUUCAUCCUAGGGGUGGAAUGAGGGAAAGGUUGAAGAGGAAGGCAAAUGUUUCCUACCUAAGCAAAUUAUGCAAAAAGAGGUAGUACAACCCAGCAAAAAUUCUUGAGAUUUCACAAAUAAAACACCCUAAAAUAUAACAAAAAGCUAUUCACGAGAACUUAUCGGGGCAGUCGAUCUCCAACCACAUAGUUGUGUUGUUCUCUGGCUUUUAGACAUUAUUAAAUCCUUCCUUCUGAUAAUGAGCGGGAGGUGUCGAUACCAUAGCAGCUGAUGGUGGCACCGGAGUGCUGUAGACUUGCGAGCGCACUUCGGCGUACAUCUCCUCCCUUCCCUUCGCCUUACCGAGGAAGUAGCACCCGAAGCCAAGCAAGAUGGCUAAGAGAAUAAGAGGAAGAGAGAAAACAACAACAAAUCCCAUCACCUUUUGUUCUCUACGUAUGAGAAACAAUUGUUUUAGUUGAACAAGGAAAGAUCUCUAGAACCAGCUGCGAGGAGAAGUGGAGGUUUCAAAGGUAGUUUUCAUAUUAACACGCAAACAUGCAUAUAAACAGACGAAAUACAGAAGGAACCUUCGUUAGAACGGUCCAGAAGGAUGUUGUCCAGGUCGACUCUCUUAGGCCUGCAUGGCUCUGAUUGACCGUGCGGCUUUACUGAACUUGUUGCCACCUGGCAUGCUCCUCCAUGUUGACUUACCUUUUUAGUAACAGUUCAAUUUGGAUUUAAUUGCUCUAUGUGAUUAUUGGACCUAUUGCGACUAAACGGCAACAUUGAAAUUGCAACAAUUUUUAAUAUAGGGUGAUUAUUGACAUAGAGAAGUGCAUGCUUAGGUGAGUGCAGUAGGUGUUAACAGCCUAGUAGGCCCAGCCCUCUAGUACCCACUGUAACCCAUCAAUUGUAGAAAGUUGUUGGGCCGAGAUGUUGUUAAAUUAGUGUGGGCCAAGUACAGCCCAAUUUAAUUCGGAAUUCUUUUUCCCCUUUUUUUUUGAGAAAUAGGUAGCACGCUAUUCGCUUCGUUUAAUUUAUUUAGAAAUAAAUUUAGCUAAAAAUAUAAAUCAACUAGUAUUCAAUUUUGAGAUUUUUGAUAUCAACCACCAAGUUCUUUGCUACUUACGCUAGGGGCGGUCGAUUCAAUUGCAGAUUCAUAUAGGUAGAACUUACUCACCUUAAGCUCGGGCCUAGACAUAAGUGGGCCUUAGCCCGGUCUGUUGACACUCGUUCGAAACGGUGUUGGCAUGAAUUGAUUUGUCAAGCACUCCGAAACUCUUAUUAGAUGAGCCCAGUUCACCUGAAGGGUACACAAAUAAAAUAAAAUAAAAUUGAGUGCCCAAGCCCAUCCGUUGGUCACUUUUUAGAUAAGAGUUAGUCAUAAAAUAGCGGUGGCAAUCGCUGAACGAAUUUUGAAUUGUGGUUUCAUACGUUCCAGAGUUCAGCAUCUCUAUGAAGGUCUAUGACUCAAUGUGAACAUGAACACGAUUGUCAUUCAGAUUGCAACUCAAGAGUCAGGAAAUUGGAUAAAUAUUUGUGGAUAUUUAUUGGUGGUUGAGUCAAUAAGUUGACUUACUAGGUGGGAUCUGGUGAAGCCUCCUCGACCUUUUGAGUACGUAAGGUUUGGUGUGGGUCUAAACUGGUCGUGUUUUUCCCACUGACCUGAUGGGUCUAGUUUGGAUUGAGCCUUAUCAAAAUCCUUAGUUACGGGAACGCUUCUAGUUUUCGAUCAGCUGCUUAUGAUCUUUAUUAUCUUAAUUCGAACAAGUUCUGCACCCAGCAUCUAGUAAUGCUGCAGAGGGCUCCUUAAACUUAUGCUCGGUUCAAUUAACUCCGAGUCUCAGACAUUUUCAUUUGUUCGUAAACCUUUUCUUCUAUAGAAGAAUCACAUUACAAAAUGGGCUGUUAAGUAUUUUUGGUUCCAAAAGUACUUUUGGGGUUUCAGAGCGUAUCAUCAAGCAGGCACUAUAAAAGCCGGUAAAUGGAGAACUUGUAUCCCGUUAACAUAUUUGGCUUCCGAAGAGUACUAGAGGAAUAGAGUUGUUCUUGGAAGGACAAAUACAUUAGAACUUCCGUCAAAUGUUCUUAGAAGGAAUAGAGUAAUUUAUUUAAUUUUUUUUUUUGAGAGAUAGGUAGCACGCUACUCGCUUCGUUUUUUUAUUUAGAAAUAAACUUAGCUGGAAAUAUGAAUCAACUAGGAUUCGAUGGGACUUCGGAUACCAAUCAUCAAGUCUUCUGUCACUUGUCUUAGGGACGGUCGGUGAAUAGAGUAAUUUAUUAAGUUAACAAAUUAGCUAAGGAACCAGUCGCUUGGUUUGACGAAUCUUUAUGCUAGUACAAAAUUCGGUUCCGUUGAUAUUACUAAGGAAUAAGAAAAAUUAUUUCAGCAGAUUUACUUCUAUAGAUUUAUUAUUAUUAUUAUUAUUAUUAUUAUCAGUUUAUAUCUCAGUUUUUUUGUGACUUCGACUUUGUUUGGGAUUGCGGGAAGGUUGCGUUACGUGCGGUGAGAAACGACGAUGAAAAAAUAUUCUGUUUAUUUUCGUACGUAAUAUUGCGUUCCGCAUAUUGCGGUUAGUCAGUUACGAUAUAUUUUCUACGGUCCUAUAGGAGAACGCAGAAACAUAUUUCUAUAUAUAUUUUUCUCACCUCCAUUCUAUCUAAUAGCGUUAGGUUCAUCUCAAUACUAUACUAAGUCUUAGUAUAUAUUUUAUUAUUAUUGCUAUUUUACUAAACUAUAAAAUAAUUCUAAUUAAUUAUUAAUCUUAUAAGAAGUGUACACAGUAUUUUCUUUGCUUCAGCUAAUUAAGGGCAUUUAAGCAUGCCAUCGAAUGGUAAGGAUAGUUGAGCUACAGUAGUGGCGGACGUUUCUAGUCUCCCACCUCAAAGCUUCGAGUCUCUCGAAAACGAGAAGUUCUACACUGUCACGCCUGCUCCACGUCAUCAAUAAUAAAUUAAUUAUAUUUCUUUUUUUUAAAUAAAAGUAUAAUAAAAAUAUUUUUUUACAAUCAUGAUAGAACAUAUAUCUUUAAAAUGAGUUAUUUGAUUGAUUUGUGACGCCACGUCACUAAUAUAUCCGAUGUAUUCUAAAAUUUUUUCUCGAAAACCUAUUUUUCUGUGGCAAGAAAACAAAGGAGUAAAAAAGGAAAACAAGGACAAGUCAUCUGCCAGUCAAAGAAGGGGCGCGACCAUUAACGUGGAUGUUAUACCUCCGAGAUCACGAGUCCCCAGCUAACGAAAAAAACCGACCCAAACGAACACCUAACCCUACCCUAGACCCGAGCACCUACGCUGCGCCUCGGGAUGCGGUCACCCUUGGGGUCGUUCUAAGCCCUUUGACCGGACACGCGCAUCCAAACCGCUGUCGCUGCAUUUGUUUCAAAUUUUCAAUAUACAAUUUUAAAAUUAUUUUUUUUUUCCAUUUCAUUUAUUUUAUUUGAAAAUAAAUUUAGCUGGAAAUGUAAAUUAACUAUGAUUCGAACUUGGAUCUCGGGUACCAACCAUUAAGUUUUUUUGCCACUUGCGCUAGGAACGGUCGAUAAUUUUAAGGAGAUAUUUGCGCGUUGCAACGGAUCAAUUAUACAGCAAAUAAAUAUAAAAGACUGAAGAAAGAAUAAAUAAUACAAGAAUGUAAGAAGCCAAAGAAUAAAAAAAUAAAAAUAGAAAAAGCUGAAAAAGAUGAAGUAGCAGUUACCGUAAAAUAUGAAAAAAAAAUGUAAGAAGAAGAAAAAUAAGAAUAAAAGUUAUGUUGGCUUAAAUGAGUCAGCAUCCUGCCCUGUGGCGGGAGGCCAUGUGGGCCGAGUCAUGUUCGAAAUUGCGUGAGGCUAGGUUGGGCCGAGUCAUGUUUGAAGUUGCGUGAGGCCAGGUGGGCCGAGUCACAAUCGAGACCCGUGGGCGCUGUUUCUGUACGCUUUAAGUGAAUUGGUUGCGUAUUUUUAACAGCUCGAGCUUUUGGGAUUAAUGGUUAGCGCCAACGAUCCGACAAGUUAGGGGUGAAAAUGGUUAGGAUAAAUUUCGAUACCGGAUUCGAUAGAAUGUGAAUAUAAUUAUCAAAAUUUAGCAUUCGUUAUAUAUUCGAAUCUGAAUUCGUAUUUGAAAAAAAUUUAAAAAUAUAUAGAGGUGAAUAUGAUUUUUUCCUAAAUCUGAUUAUAUUUGACUGUUGUCAUUUCUAAGAGAUAAGAAGGAUAUUAAUAUAUAUUAUAGGAAGGAUAAAGUUAUUUUCUAUUGUGCUUUUCAUUUAUUUAAAUAUGAAUUUCAUAUUAAAAUUAUAUUUAUAAUUAUUAAAAUAUUAAAUUUUAUUGAAUAAAAUAUAGGUAUAUGAGGUUUAAACACAAAUAAGAACUUUUAAUUGCAUUGUGUCUUUUAUUUGCAUUAUUUUUAGUUUAUAUUUAUAUAUACAUUAUUAGUAUAUUUUACUAUCUGAAUAUAAAGUCUGCUUAGAUUUAAAUCUAAAUCCAUUUUAAGAGGAUGUAGUCUCAAAAGUUUAGCAUUGGACAUAUAUUCACAACGUAAAAAAAAUGGAUGCGGAUAAGGUUUUAUCAAAAAUCCAACUUUAUUGGACCAUUUCGCUCUAAUAAAAAGCAAAUACUAUAAAAUUAAUAAAUUAUAUUGGUAGAGCAAUAAAAGUAUAAUAAAAAAAAAACCAGUAGGAGCAACAGAACUAACAUAGUUAGUAAAUGAAAAAAGAAAUAUUCUAUGAAUCAAUUAUAAAAGUAAAUUUAUACACCACAUUUCUCAAAUCUUAUUAUAAAAUUUUAAAUUAUGUAAAUUUUAUAUAUAGUUUUUUUAUAUGAUUUGAAUUGUAUAUAUUAAAUAUAAAUUUUGAUCUUAUAAUAUUAAUAUUUUAAAAUAAAUCAUAUAGAAAAAAUAAAAAAAAGAAAAAUUGAUGGAGAAAAAAAGGGGGAGAAGUGUGUUGCAAAAAAAAAAAUGUCAGCAUGAGAUGGAAAAAAAAAAAAAAACAUAAAAAAAUAUUAAAAAUCUCAGCCCAGCCCCUAACUCCUUGUGAAGCAUUGAAGAUUGAACCAUUGAAGAUUAUUAUUAUUAUUAUUAUCAUCUUCAAUUUCAAGUUUAUGUUAAAAAUGAAUGAAAUUCCGUAUGUAGACAAGCCAAUUGAAUCGAAGACAGUUAAAAUUUUUUAAGUAAAUUGUAAAAUUAUAUCAAAUAAGAUACUUAGGCUUGGUUUGGUAUUGAGGUCUAUCUGAUGCUGUUAGAUAAAAUAGAGUUAGAAAAAAAAAAUAGGGAUAAGUGUUUUCCGGUGGAAUUGCAGAAAAUAUAUAAUAACGGAGUUAUCGUAAUAUGCGGAACGCAAUAUUACGUACGAAAAUAAAUAAAAUAUUUUCCUCUCGUACUUUUUUACCGCACAUAAGGUAAUUUUUCCGCAAUCCCAACCGAAGCUUUAGUUAUCCAAAUAAGGUCUAAAGCUGUUAGUUAUAUUGCUUGUACUAAGAUUAUUUUUUAGUUAUUUUAUAGUAAAUUGAUUUUCUCAGUAAUUUGAAAUUAGAGUCAGGUUAAAGCUCCCUCUAUUUCAAGUGGUUCAUUUAAAAUAACUUUUAAUUCUUAAAACCUGAUAAUCGAGAAUAGCUGAUUGAAUCUAAAUAUCAAAAUUAGUAGAAUAUAACAUCAUUAGUAAUUUUAUAUUCAAUAUGAUAUAUCAAUGUUAUACAAUACUAUCUAAAAGAUAAAUGUAGUAAAAAAAAAAAAAAAAAGCCUGAAAAGUCUUUAACAUAAAUUACCCAAUACCAACAAAGAGUGUACAAGCACAAAUGCCCCAAAAUUGAUACUAGAUGAUGCCGUUACACACAAAUAAAAUUAUCUCAUCAAAUGUUCUUUUGGCUAGUGUUUGGUUAGAGGUUAAGGGGUGGAAUAAUCCUUUAACCUCCAAUUUAUUUCCAAACACAUCAAAAAAUGGGUGGGAUUAGCAAAUAGCCAAUUUGGGAUGGAGUUUGCUAACCCCACCCCACUUCACUAUUCUAAUCAAACAAAAUACUAUUUUACCCACUAUUCUUCUUAUCCCACCUACUCUAACUAAAUAUUAUUUUUUUUAAUCAUGAACUAACUUCAACCCCCAAUCAAACAAAAAAAAAAACUCUAAUCUCAUUUUAAUCCUAAAAUUAAUCUUAUUUUUGAAAUAACUAGUUUUUUUUAAAAUCCGAUUCAAACAGUAGCUUGGUGUACAUAUUGAUGCGCUUAGUAUCUUACUGAGAAAACCCACCAUCACGAAAUACGGAAAACCUGUACGGUUUCUUGGAUUGGUUGGGUGGUCCAAUAAAUAUAAAGUCCUUUAGGAAGCGAAUGUUGCAACAUAGCUAUCACGUGAUACCCAGAUUCCAUUCUUUUUUGCGCCCCCUACUCGGAAAAAGAAGCCGAUCGGACGGUCGAGAUCGUUUUUCUCUUUCCCCACCUGAAGAGUCGCUCCCCUUCGUUCGUUUCCGGUUGUAAACGAACCGAAGAGUCAGGGGCAUGCUCGUCAUCUUAAGGUUAAUUGUGUUAUGAAAUAUAGUAAAAUAAAAUAAAAUAUUUUAUUAUGUUAAUUCAGCAGUAAAUUUUAUUAGAAAUUUUUUUUCGAGAGUAAUAAAUUAUAAUAAUCAUCAAAGAGGCUUCGAUGAGCUCUUACCAUUCCAGCGUGAUUAACUUUUACACAGCUAGCGGUAAUAUAAAAUUUAAAAAGAAAAAGAAAAAGAAAAAGAAAAGGUUAAGGCCCAAAAAAAAGAAAAGAAAAAGGGACACUACAUUCCCGAAAUUGCCCUUCCUCGGUGAGCACACUCGCGCCCGAGUGACGACCGAGUCGCUUGCGCGGGUUAAUAAAAUGUACACACACGCACACAAACACCGAGUCCGAGUCCGAGUCCGCAAACAUCAAGCCGGGUUUUUCAAACCCGGGAGUCGAAGCGGGCCGGUCGAGCGCGCACGCGCUCACCCGUCGUCCAAGUAGCGGAGGAGCUCGGCCUCGGCCUCGGCCUCCGCCGCGGCGGGUCGGUGGUCGUCGGCGGCGAGAAUGGCGUCGAGGGCGCGGCGGAAGAGCGGGGCGGGGCAGGGGAUCCGGAGCACCCCGCGCUGCUCGUACCCGUACUCCUGCGCCGACCUCCGCAGCAUCGCCACGAACACCGGCCGGCUCAGCAGCUCCGCCCGCACCACGAACCGCUCCAUCUCCUCCCCCACGUACACCGGCACGUGCCCCUCCGGCGCCCGCACGUGACCCCCCCGCCGCUCCUCCUUCCCCCCCGUUCCCACCACCACUCCCCUCCCCUGCCGCUGCUGCUGCUGCGACGACGACGAGUCCGCCACCCUCGACAGCCGUCGGAUCAUCUCCCUCAUCAAUCGAAUCCAACGGCCCAGGAAAAAAACAACAACAGCAGAACAAAAAAAAAAAAACGACCGGAGGAAAAUACCACUACGGUGGUGGUGAGUUGGGUGGAGGAGGAGCUUCUGCGGCGUGCGAUAUUUAUAGCGGAAUUUAGAGGAUUAUUACUAUUUUUUUUGAAAAAAAAAAAUAACACGGAAAAUGAGAAAAAAGAAAAAGGAGGAGACGGUACAAGUGGGAGUACAUGGCAGGUACGAAAUGUAAUAAAAAAAAAAAUCGAACACCAAAUCAGCGAUUCCGCUGCAAGUAACCGAACACCGUACAACCGUAUCCACCAAUAAAAUCUAGCCACGUACGACACUAUCGCCGCAGAGUGAGAGUAAAGGAGAUAAAGCGGCACGAUUCUUAGCGUAACGCUGCGUUGUGGCGCCAAUCGCGCCCGGCGCGACACGUGCCGUUUCCUUCGGCUGCUCGUAGCCAAGGAAAAGUCGUAGGUCGUAUACUGCAUUAGUAUAAUUGCACGGAGACCCCUCAACUAUACUUUUUCCUUCUUUAAUGGAAGCAACUGUAGUCUUUAACGUUAACACUUUCUUAGCUUAUGAUUUUUUUUUUUUAACAAAAAGUUUUUGUUAUUUUAAUAAUUUCAAUGGCUUAACAGUAAAUAAAGGUGUUAAAGUUGUGUGUGUCGGAAAGCGAAUAGUACUAUUAAACGUAAGUUGAGGUGCCUUUUUCGAGGCGCCCUGUAGUACGCUUUUACCUUCGUCAAUUAAAACAAACGGGUCCACCGGACCAUGUGACUCGGGCCUAUUUCGGGUCGGACAAACGGGCCCAUCCGGGCCACCGUGAAUGAGAUUGCCAUCACAUGAAGGGACCAAUUCCGACUAACCACACCCAUACAUAUCUCGGUCGUGGUCCACGUGGGCCUCAAAAUACACCCAAAUGUGACGCAUGUGAACGUGACUAGAUGCUGUUCUUUGUACUGGUGUUCUGCUGUGAGCUUAUCGCAAGCCUAUUCAAUGUUCUUAAUUUGCCGUUGUUGGGUUCCACCCACCUACUUGCGUAGUAUAUUGCCAUGAGUUUUUUGACUUUUGAGUUCUAGAAUACAAUUUAUUAAUUAAUAGAGGGUGGAUUAGAUACUGAGAAAGAAUUAAGGAGAAUUAGCCGUCCGAAUUAAGAACAGGUGAUCUGCUGUGGUAUCCUGCUCGCAUUGCAGUUCACUAGUAGCUCUAAUUAACCACUGCUUAUGUUAUUUAAAUCAGAUUCUAGAACUAAUCUUGUUGCAGUUGUGUAUAUCUAUGUAGGACCUGGAGUGGCUGUAUCUAGUAAUUAAGUAGGAAUUAUGCUAGCCAAAAAGACACUGUUCAUCAUGGAUCUUAUAGGGCCCUGCUGCUUCGCCAAUAAAUGCAGUAAUGCACUUGGCAAUGGGUGAAAGGACAUCGAAGUUCCUUAGAUAUGUUUCUAUUAGAAAUGGAUCUCCUAGUACCAUCACCCUCCUUAAAACAACGUAUCAAUAAUGAGAUUUAGCACAAUUAUCAGGUUAAUUACACCACACGUACUAAAAAACACGUACGGAUACAUAUUGUUGGCGUCAUAAAAGUUGCGCGAUGUGGUGAAUCAGGAUGCAUUAUGAGAAUAACUCCUGAAUGUAGGAAUAACUAACAUAUGGUGCGCUAGGAGCGGAGAAAAGUGUACCUAAAAUCGAAAAGCAGUUGAAUCUUAUACGGUUAGGAUCGGCAGAUUGUGACCCACAAAAUCAGAGAUGUGGCCAAUCAUGAGUAAUAACCGAAUAACAACAGACAAAAUUAUAAAAUAGAUAAGAAACGCCUGACAUAGGGAUCUUUUUUCCAUGCGAACGUGAAAAUCAUUUAUUUUUUUCUUUACAUUUUUCGCUUUUUAGGAGUAGUUUAUUUGUUAUCUCUUUUUUUUUGUUAUAUUUAGUGUUUUUUCUAUGAAUAGUUUUUAGGUUAGUAUUUCCUCUGAGAUCAUUCGCCAUAACAGCGCAUCCUUUUCUAUAAAUAUUUUCUAGUUUUAAGCACUAUAUAAGCAUUUCGGUGCUACAGUCGAACCUAAAAAUAUUGUGCAGUUUCUGGACUCGACUGAGCCAGCUGAACUGAAAAUACUGUAUAAUCUUUGAACUCGGCCGAUCCGAUCCAUCAUCCGAAUCGUUUGAUUCAAUUGCGAGCGCUAAUUUUGAGGAUCAUCAUCAGUUGCCGCUCUACCUUCCUUGCGUUCUUUCCGAAGGAGGACUUUUGACCAAGACAGUGGCCAAGAAAAUCUACUUGCAGCACAUACUUUCCAGUAAUACUACAAUUUUUUCAUCAUAUCAUUCUUAUCUAUUAUAGAUGCUGGCACUAUAAUUUGAUUGAUUCAUGCACGUGCUGUUAUCCGGCACUCUAGAAAAACGACAUAAUGUUGUACAUAAAAAAGUAUUUAUGUUUACAUUUAGUCUAUAAGGCGAAAGUCGGAUUAAUUCAAAUUAUAAUCGAGUACCACGAGUGCUUUGUCUAUACGUUUUAAUUUUAUUUGGUUGGUAUUAAUGAUCCAACAAAUAAUAUUGAAGUCAAAUUACGAAUUCGAUUCUCAAAUUUUCAUAUACUGUAAAGGUGAAGUAAAAGAUUAUUGAAGGAUUAUAGUUAAUACGAACGAUCAACAAUAUAUAUAGAGAGAGAGAGAGUCUGGCUACUAUACUAUCGAUAGUAGCAAGCUCUUGAUACUAACGAGUUUUCUGCUAUUAGAUCUACCCUUUGAUACCGACCGUCCCUAGAGCAAGUGGCAAAGGGCUUGGUGGUUGGUACCCGAGACCGAAGUUCGAAUCCUAGUUGAUUCACACAUUUCUAGCUAAGUUUAUUUCUAAAUGAAAAAAACGAAGCGGGUAGCAUGCUACCUAUCUCUCAAAAAAAAAAAGAUCUAUCCUUUGAUUAUUUUUACCCAUUAGAUUAUACUAUUGAACUAACCAUCUAUUCAACCUUAGGGGACCUCUAUUAUCCUAACCGCACAUCCUUUCAUACAAUGGUCGAAAACUCGAUAGCACCAGGCACUUGGUACUAUCAAUAGCACUAAGUCAUUGGUGCUAUUAGGUUUUUGGCCCUUGAAUGAAGAAAUGUGCAGUUAGUAUAAUAGUGAUCCUCUAGAGUUGAGUGGGUAGUUGGUUGAUUAGUAUAAUCUAACGAGUGAAAAUAAUUAAAAUGGUAGAUCUAACGACGAAAAAUAUCAAGCGCUUGAUACUAUCGAUUGGUCAUCGGAGGCCUCCGUGCUAUCGAUAGUAUACCAGUCUAGCUCUCUCUCUCUCUCUCUCUCUAUAUAUAUAUAUAUAUAUAUAGAAUUGAGUUAGAAUACUUUUAAAAGCACUAACCCCUUGGUGCUUCUAAGUUUCUAGCCCUUGGAUCUACUCCUUAAUUACUAAUACUUCUUAGAUCAAAUAUUAUUUCAUCUACCACCACCUAUCAUCACCUACCACCAUCAUCAUCUCAACCCUACACCUCUCUAUCCAAUGGUUAAAAAUUCAAAAGCACCACCUCCUUGGUGCUUUUGAGAGUAUUAAUUCUAGCUCAACUCUCUCUCUCUCUCUCUCUCUCUAUAUAUAUAUAUAUAUAUAUAUAUAUAAGAUACACCAAAUUUUCCGGUACUCUUUGGCUUCCGUAGAGCAAAUGGGUACGGUGUGUGGAUUGCAUGGAUGGGCCCCGUGGUUUGCUUUGCGUUUCGCGCCGUAUUUCCGACAAAAGGCGCAAAGCGGGAAAACACGUAAAGAGUGCGGUUAGUGUGUUUUUUUGACCCCCCAGUGCGGAAAUCCUUCCCGUCACUUUCGGCAUCGCAUGUGGUCUGGAAGGUCCCACGUCCCCCUCAAAUGACCAAAAUGCCCAUAACUAAUGCCAGCACUUUUCCUUCCUACUUUACAAUAUAUAUUAUCAUCAUUAUGUCUAAAUUACUAAAAAAUAAAAAUAAAAAGUAAAACGUAGCAUACCUAUAGAUCAUUGUAAAUCAGCUAUUUUAAAAUUUUAAGUUUUUUAUUUUCAAAUCUUUCAAUUUGUUUAAUUUGAGUCAGUCAACGAUAUUUUAAUUUUAAAAUUUAAGCUAAUUGAUUAUUUUAAUAAAUUUAUAGUUCCGAGAAUUUUAUAAAAUAUACUAAUCAAAUCUGUAAAGAAAAAAUAGCGCAUUUAAAUUUUGAAAUCAGAAUGUUGUUGAUCGACUCAAAUCAAGUAAAUUGAGGGAUUUGAUAUAUAGUAAAAUCAAAAUUUUUAAAGAUUGAAUAGCUUACUCAAAACGGUUUAUAAUUUAGACAAAUUCGAUACAUUUUUUUCAAAAAAAGGUAAUUCUUGUAUUUUUGUUUUCCAAGUACCUCCUUGUAUCAUAAACUACUGCAAUUUUAAUAUAAAAAUAUGAUGUGCUCAGAUGGAUCGCAUCUUUGAUAAUUUGCAGUACUGGUCAUAAAUGUCUGUCGUAUUAGGAGAUACCAAAUUACUUCAUCGACCAAUUACAAGUUCGAUUAGUGCAAAAACUUAUCUACAAAUAUUUUUUAAAAAACUAUUUUUUAUGUUAAUCAUCUUAAAAGGAACUUUUAUAGCGUUAUGUAUAAAAUAGUACCGUUCUUUAGUUAGACACUUUUGGUUGUGACAUUUUUUUUUAAUUGGCACUUUAGUUGUGUACUAUGAUCAUUAACUUUGUAGGACAAUAAUCUGUCAAAAAAAAAAAAAACUUUAUAGGACAAUAACACAAGCAUAAAAAUAACGGUAGGGGUAUUUCUGUAAUUUCAUCACAGAGGUAUGGGCACUCUGGUCAAUGGCGAGGAUAACGCUAUCACGAAAGAAUCCCAACCGUCCUCUUAUCCCUCGGGGAAUUAAACGGCCCAUCAUGAUUAUACUACCAUCGUGAUUACACUAGUACCCUAAUAUACAUUGAAAUAAAUUAUUUAAAAAUAUAUAUUUUUUGCUAUAAAUAUUUUCUAUUAUAAUUUCAAGUUAAGAAUUUAAAUUUUUUUUCCUCAUUGUAGCAUAUCCGGAUGUCUCUUUUUGCGCUUGAAAUUAUGCUUUUUACCUAUCAAAUAGUAUAUAUUAAAACAUCGACAACGCACUUGUGCAUCGAAAUCGAUACACAAUUUAUUGAAAAAAACCUUUCCAUACUCUUCCUUAAUCUUUCUCUCUUUAUAUUUUAGUAUUCUAUAGUUGCAAUAGUUAAGCAUCUUAUGAUCUUUAUUUUUAUUUUCUAUUAGCAUUGUUGUUACCUCCAUUAACGCCCUCAUGUGUCCCAUGCGUACUAUGGACAUAUUGAACAAAUAGCACGUUGCCCGUUUUAUUUGUUUUAUUUAAAAAUAAAUUUAGCUGGAAUAUGAAUCAAUUAGAAUUCGAAUUUGAAAUCUCGAAUAUUAAUUGCAAAUCGCCCGUUUUAUUUGUUUUAUUUAAAAAUAAAUUUAGCUGGAAUAUGAAUCAAUUAGAAUUCGAAUUUGAAAUCUCGAAUAUUAAUUGCUAAUCUUUUUAUGUCACGCAAGUACUUUGUAUAUUUUUCGGUUGGCAUAAAUUAAGGCUACUCUGGUUUGAGCUUACCAUUGUGGGGAAAAGGGGUAUUGCCGUAAUUUCACUUUCUCCGGGCGUUGUGGUUCCCACGUAAACGGAUGUAUCCGUACAGGGACGUGGAACUCCACCGGGACAAUGCGCAUGAUCUCGGCGCACGAUAGAUGCGUGACAUAAAACAAGUACCCUCCUUGUCCCCUUGUGCGCCUUUCGCGGCGCACGAUAAGCUGACUAAUUCUAAAAGUGCGCUUUAUUUCUUUUUUACAGUUGUGUGUAUUUACAUUCCAUUUACAGUUAACAAAAAAGAUUUAAUUUGAAGUGCUACAAUAAUACGACUUGUUUAAUGUUUAACAUAAAAUCAUAAGUUCAUAACCAUCAUACCAUCGUACAUACUAUUCACAACUAAGGCCCUAUUUGAUCGAGUAUACUAGUAUACUAGUAUAGAGACCCGCGCGAUGCAGCGGGCAGAUAAUAGAAACAAAAUUUUAAUAAAAUUUAUAUUCACAACUUAUUGAUGUAUAAGAAGUUAUACCCAUGUUAAACAUAAUUAAUUUGUAUGACUAAAUUCAACUAUUAAAAAAAUAAAUUAUAGUUAGAAGUUUAUAUAUAUAUUUUAAAAUCAUCGAAAUACAGUAAGAGACAUAUAAUUUUAUCGUAUUAUGUGCACCUUAAACAUUCCGUUGUGAAAAAUAAAAAAGAGCUAGCUCCAGCACAGCUAAAUCAACCUAGUGGGCACUUAUAUGAGCCGCGGCUCGAUUUUGCGGAACGAUGCUUCUCGAAAGAGACAACGUUCUUCGCAUGCUCUUCUUCUUCUUCUUCAUCGUUCUCAUCAUCUUCGUUAACACAAUAAGAGAGAGAGCUAGAUGAGUAUUGGGUGGAAAAUUAGAUGAUGAUAUUUUUUUUGCAUGAAAAAUAAGGGGCCAUGCAAAAGAGAGGGGAGUGGGGGAUUAAUGGAGGUGGAGGUGGAUUGGUGUUGUAAAGCCCAUUUAUUUGUAGAAUAUAGUGCCUAUAAUUAAAUGUUGCAUUUUCGAUUAAUUAAUUUUCAUGAUUUCAAAGGAUUGGGAGGUGAAGGGUUUGGCGUUGAAAAGAGAUUUGAAGGAGAAGAAAUGACUAAUAUUGAAGAGAAAAAUGAGUAACAUAUAAAUUAAAGAGCACAUUAAUUAUUUGUCAUUGAAUAGAGAGGAGGGGAGGGAAAAAGCCAAGAACAAAUGUGAGUUCAAAAAAAUGAUUAGUAAGAUUGAAAGAAAACUUACCAUGUGGCAAAAAAUAUUGGGAAUUCAUUUAGGUUAAUAGAUACACGUAUCGUUGCUGCUAAGCCAAACAGAUUCUAAAUACGACGAAUUGGGAUAGAGAAUAGUGAUCGUCGUCGUCCCGUGCUCGCCCCAUUACCUUCGAUAUUCCAUGUGCAAGCGUCGUCAUCUUCCCCGAGGUAUAUAUACAUUCCACAACCAUUGUAUAAGCUAUGAAACACUUCUUCGUGGUGGGGACUCUGCGAUAACGCAGUUGUUGUAUUCUUGUGGCCGUACGUUCCGGAUCAUCACGGGCGUACGUUUUGGUUCCUUUUGUUUUGUUUUGGUUUUUUUUUAAUUGAUUGGCUUUUUGGGCGUGAACAUAAAAUAAAUUUAAUUUGGACGCCACAUAAGAAGCCUUAGGAUUUUUUAUUUGUGGAGGAGAAAAGUUGAUGAGCUGUGGCAUGCCAGUGUGGUGUUGAUAUUAAUUGGCAGGAAAAGUUAGGAGGUAUGUGUGUAUGUCAGGUUAGUUAGCUGUACUCAUCAUGUGUUGUCAGGUAUUCUGUGUUUAUAAAAAAACAUUAAAUUAUAUAAGUUCUCAUAACUAUUAUCUUUAUAAAUUAUAUAUUAAUAUACUCGUACGCAUAAUUGAGAGGUAUCUGAUUGAUCCAUACAUAUAACCUAAAAAUAUUACAUAUUUAUCAACAUAUCAACUACCUAUAGAGUCAAUAAAAUAAUUUAUUCCAUGGGCUUUUAAAGCAUGUUCUCCUAGGAGAAUAUGUUUUCGUAAAAAUUAUAUAGUUGCCAACAUUCCAUUGAUUUUUUCAUGCACACAAUGCAAAAAUAGUACUACGUGUGUGUGUGUGUAAUAUUUAUUUUUUCAUAAACAAGUGAGGAUUGUCAAGACCUUUUUAGAGUGUAAUGACAAUAGAAUAUCACUGUAACGCACAAAUAAUAAUUGAAUAAUUUGUUCGACAUCUAAAAAUAUACCAUAAAAUAUUUAUACAAGUUAUGGACUAUAGUAGGAAGCUCCACCACACACCAUGUGAAGAAGCUAAUUUUUUCUUAUCUACUUCCAUGUAAGGCUUUUAGUAAGCCGAACAUGAGCUGUCUCAUAAACAGCAAGUUAGAUUGUUAGCCUUUGGGUGAAAAGUUGAGAAAAAAUAAAAAAAAAUUAGAAUUUUAAUCUAGUAAUUAGAAAUUACAAGAUAUAUGUUUCUUUACAUUUGUGUUGACCUAAAAUGUAAGUAGAAAAAUCAUAUAUAGAGAGAAAGAGAGAGAGAGAGUCCGGUUACUUACUGUGCUAUCAAUAGCAUAGAGCACUUGGUGCUACCAAAUUUUCUGUCGUUAAAUCUAUCCCUUUGACCAUUUCCACCCAUAAGCUCAUACAUACUAUUCAAUCAAUCACCCACUCAACUCUAUGUAUCACUAUCAUCUUAACCGUAAAUCUUUUUAUACAAGGGCAAAAAAUUUAAUAGCAUCAAUGACUUGGUACGAUUAGUAAUAUACUAGUCUAGUUCUUUCUCUCCCUCUCUUUAUAUAUAUAUAUAUAUAUAUUCGAACAAUAUUUAGCUAAACACGAGUGGCUGACCCUAGAUUAUGUUCAGCUCUUUUAUCAAACAAGCAAUAGAUCUCGAGUUCAUUUCCAAUUGAAAACGAGCUGGCUCGUGAGCAUCGAACUGGGUUGCCAGCCCUACUCCUAUGACUGAGUACGAUAUUAUUCAUUCAUGUUCGAAAAACAAUAUGCCUUUUUGAAGCCCAUAAAAAACUGGGCCUUUAAUGGGCCGGGCCUACAAUCACAUAAAAAAAAAAUUAAGUCAUUCUUGUUAGUGGUUUGUCGUGUUCUCUCAUGUGGGCCUGGACUCGUUCAAUAUGGACUAUAAAUUAAACACUUCCAUAAUGAGUUUGAUAAUUUUAUUUUUCCGGUAUGCUUUCGUCCCAACCCGUUUUGACCCAACAAACUUAAGCGAGUCUCGAUAUCAAAUGCAACUUUUUCUAAAUUCAAUUUUCUUUUAUUUUCACUUUGGCGAAUCACGAAGUUAAUUAACUCUCUCUACACUAGUUAAUUUCCCAAAAUCCUCCCAAUUAUGGGUUAAACACGCAUCGUCACGCAUCGCCAUCCCCCACGAGGUUAACUAGAACGCAGAUCAAUUAGAUGGUUUAAAAUGGACCAGACUCAUAAGUUCUUAUUUGCGACAAGCCGAUAAAGAAAUGAAAUAAAGGACAAGUUCGAUUAGACAAAUCGAGCCCAAUUUCGGGGAAACAUGAAGCACCUGUUGAAUUAUACCUCAAUAGUGUUCAAAGUUGAUUAAUAUCAUUAUUUGACUUAAAUUUGAAACUUUGUCAUGAUAUAUUAAUUUUAUUGGAUAUUCGAAUCUCAGUGACAAAGCUUGCAAAAAGUGGAAUGGCAUUUUAAUUUUGAUAGUGGAAUUGAGAUUCUCCUCUUGUUUUGUUUUUAUUUAUUAUUAUCUCCAUAAUCCAUAGUCACAGUCCAUUAAAAUCGAUAUUAAAUUAAGAAACCUACCUCUUGCAUAAGGUCUUAAUUUACGAGUAAGAUAUUAGCACGAGGUAGAAAAACAUAAUAAUUGUAAUCUUUUACCAAUUUUUUAAGUUUAAUUAUUGUUAAAAUAGGUUUAAUUUUAUUUCUAAAUUCUGACUUACCGUUCUGCGAUCCAGAUCAGAGAUAUUUAAUUUAUAUUUAAUUUAAAAAGUUUAGAGAAUAAAUAAAAAAAUUUCCGUCCACUUUUACACUUCUUAUACAACUUGUGCGGUGAAGGCUCAGAAGCAUCCUGAUCGUCCAUAUUUUACAACGACUCGCACGUGUGAGAUUGAACAAUGUAGAGAUGCUCAUGACUCAUGAGAUAUUCCUUCCUCUAUCACUCUCCGCAUUGACACGUGUGCGUAAGGGAUCAGAUGCCCCCAAAAAACGUGAACCAGUGAUCUCGCACGUGCUCGUAACAUUCCCACGAUCGAAGCCACGUUUCCUUCCACGAAAGACCCUCUCAUUUACCUGUUUUGCAAUAUAAAUUCCAUGAAUACAGUCCACCACAUCACUCGUGCACUGUAAAUUUUUGUUAUUGUUUUAAUUUUUAAAUUAAAAGGGAUUAAAGAUUGAAAAUGCACAGUGAGCAAUUCAUGCCAUAACUUAGAUACUUUGACAUCGGUGUAUGCUUUUAAAUUUUGUAUAUGCGUAGAUGUGCAGCUGAAAAUUAAAUAUCUAUUUAUUAUAAUUUUAUAUACAAAAUAUUAUACUCACAAAAUAAUCUUACUGCUCAUCAGCGAUAAAAUACAUUCGAUUAAAUUUGCAUUGCCUACGAAAAUAAAUAGAAAAAUCACAUCCUCAUGACUUAUACGGUAGAUUUGGAAUUUAUUUAAUACAUCAAACUUUAUUCUCUCUACGUGGCUCGAUUCCAAACACAUUAGCCAAGUCCACAUCCUUUAUUUAUUUAAUAAUUAAAUAAAUAGGCGCCUCCCCUCGUGUUUUGACCGUAGUUUCAACGAUCAAGCCCUGAAGCUUCCAAAAGUUUCUAAACCUCCCCACCAAUCCAUGGCUAUAAAAACCCUAUCCCCUCAUGCAGAAAUAAACCAGUAAGAAACUAACCACAUCCACAUCUCAUCGAUCUCCCUCACUCCUCACUCAUAAAAUUUAGAUCCAAAAANAAAAAAAAAAAAAAAAAAACAAUGUGGUGGAGGAAGAAGGAGAUGGAGCCGCUACCGACGCACUACGACCGUCUCACGGAGUGCGCCGGAGAGUGCGAGGACGUGGCGCAGCGGAUACCGAAAGGGUACGUCCCGAUGCUGGUCGAGGACGAGGCGCGCGGGGAGGUGGAGAGAGUUUUGGUGCAUGUUAAGCUCCUCAAUGAGCCGUUCAUGGUGGAGCUCCUCGAGUGGUCGGCGCAGCGGUUCGGGUACCAGCAAGAUGGCGUGCUCAGAGUGCCCUGCGACGCUCGCAAUUUCCGGCGCAUGGUCGCGUUAUCUCGGCGAAAGCUAGAUAGAUAAUCUCAUACAAAUUGUUUGAGUUAAUUCACUUGUGUGCUUCUAAAUUUGUCUAUAUUUAUUCAUUCAUUUUUUUCGUGCUAGUUCAUUUUAUUUUGUUUUCUAGUCCCUUUGUGGGAAAUACAUUUGAGAAGGCAAUAGAUUUGUGUAAGUUGUUACAUAAUUGUAUGUGCGUUAAUAUGUAUCUUCUGAGAUAGCAAGAAGGCCAAAAAUUUUUGGCCAAUUUGUAUAAAAAUUAACAAAUUUUGAGCUUUUGUAAGAUUAUGUCCUUUUUUUUUAAUUUACAGAUUCAAUCCGAAUUUUUAGCAAACUGACCAAAAUACCCUUAUUACUUUUUCAUUCAUUCUUUUUUUUUUUUCCUUUCUCUGAAGAAGGCAUUAGAGGCUGAGGCGGAGGCGAAGGCGGAAACGGUCUGCGCCGCCUCUCACUCUCAUGCCCUCGCCCUUGCCCACACACCCCCAACCUUCCUUGCCUCCGACCCUAUCGAAAUGCGCCGUGACUUUUUUUUUUUUUCUCUCCGACCCUCAUCCACCGUUUUUGACGGCGACGCCUCUCUUGUCCUUCCACACCCUUUUCACCCUCUCUCUCCUUCCUCCUCCGCUGCCCACGCCGUGAAGGUCAUUGCGGCGCCGCAGCCUCAGAGCGGGGGUUCCUUAAUGGCGUCGUCACCGGCGCCGUAGCCGUUAGCGGAAAGACGUGACCAAAAAAAAUUAUAAAAAAUGAAAGAAAAAAAGAAAAAAAAAAGAAAAUUAUAGAAAAAAAAAAGAUGAAAAUAAAAUUGUAUAGUUAAAGUUAAUAUUUUAAUCUAAUAAAUUUUAUUUGUAGAAAUCAACCAUUUAUAUGGAAGAAAAUUGAGCAAUUAAUAUAUUUAUAAAAAGCCAGUUAUAAAAUAGAGGAUCUUUCUUGUCCUUCUUUUCUUUAGAACUCUGAUAUUUUAGGCUUUUUAACUCAAUUUUUAUGGCGCUCCUUACUUAUAUUUAUUUUUAUUUAUCAUAAUCGCUUCUGCAAAAAUUGACCUGAAAAAAUAAAUAUCAAUGAUAAAUUAGAAAACAGUUAUUUAAAAAUUAAUAAAAAUACUUCAUAAUUGAACUCAUAAGAUAAAAGUUAAGAUAAAUACUUAAAAUAAGGUAUUAAUUAAACUUUUUAGUAUUUUACCAAAAUUUAAACUUCUUAUGCAAACUCAACAUCAAAAAAAAUAUUUUUUUCUAUUUAUGAUAGUAUGAUUGCAUGUUGGAACACAAUAAAUUAUAGCAUUAUUAAAAAAUAUUAGAACUCCUCACUAAAUGUGUCACUUGGCAGUACCUAAUAACUUUACUUCCAAAAUUUUAUAUAUAUAUUAUAUUUAGAGUAGAGCUACUAAACUAUCAGAAGUAUAGAGGAUCCGAUGCUUCCGAUUUUUCGGCCCUUAGAUCAACCCUUUUAAUCAUUUCUAAUUUUUGAAUUAAUACUAUUAACUUGUGGGGACCACUCAACCCUAAGGGUACUAUUCAACCCUGAUUUUUUUACAGCGAUUGACUGGUGUAUAUUUUAAAUUUUGUGUAUAUGUAGGCAUACAAUUCUUUAAUUGAGCAUCUAUAUAUUAUAAUAUUUUUUUUAGAGAGAAAGUUAGCAUGCAACCCGUUUCGUUAUAUUUUUUAAAAAUAAAUUUAGUUGAAAAUAUGAAUAAAUUAAAAUUUGAACUCAGGACUUUGUUUAUUAUAAUGUUAUACACAAAAAUUUAUACUCAUAAGAUAAUUUUACUAUUCACCUGCGACGAAAUAUAAUCAAAUUAUUUGCAUUGCCCACAGAAAUAUAGGAAAAUAAAUCACAUCAUCACGGCUUAAUGGUAGUUUUAGAAUUUAAUACAUCAAACUUUGUUGUCUCUACGUGGCUCGAUUCCUAACACAUUAGCCAAGUCCACAUCCUUUAUUUAUUUAAUAAUUAAAUAAAUAGGCUCCUCCCUUCCUCUUUUGACUGUAGUUUCAACGAUCAAUCCCUGAAGCUUCCAAAGGUUGACCCAAACUGUUCUAAACCUCCCCACCAAUCCAUGGCUAUAAAAACCCUAUCCCCUCAUGCAGAAAUAAACCAGUAAGAAACUAACCACAUCCACAUCUCAUCGAUCUCCCACACUCCUCACUCAUAAAAUUUAGAUCCAAAAACAAAAAAAAAAAGAAAGAAAAAACAAUGUGGUGGAGGAAGAAGGAGACCGAGCAGCUACCGACGCACUACGACCGUCUCACGGAGUGUGACGGAGAGUGCGAGGAUGUGGCGGAGCGGAUACCGAAAGGGUACGUCCCGAUGCUGGUCGAGGACGAGGCGCGCGGGGAGGUGGAGAGAGUUUUGGUGCAUGUUAAACUCCUCAAUGAGCCGUUCAUGGUGGAGCUCCUCGAGUGGGCCGCGGAGCGGUUCGGGUACCGGCAAGAGGGAGUGCUCAGAGUGCCCUGCGACGCACACAAUUUCCGGCGCAUGGUCGCGUUGUCUCAUCGAAAGCUAGAUGGAUAAUCUCAUUCAAGUUGUUUGAGUUUACUAGUGUUCUUAAUUUGUCUAUAUUUAUUCGUUCAUUUUUUGCAGUAGCUCAUUUUAUUUCGUUUUCUAGUCCCAUUGUGGGAAAUAUUUUGAGAAAGCAAUAGAUUUGUAUUAGUUGUUACACAAAUAUGCAUUGUACACACAUGUAUCUUCUGAGAAUGCAAGAAGGUCGAGAAAUUUUUUAUGCAAGUAAUUAAUGUGUACUCUUUUUUUUCUUUUUUAACCUUAGCAUAUCUAUCUAUUUAAUUUAGAAGUCUAAACUACAGCAUCUCUUUUUUUUUUAGGGAAAGGUGGUAUACUAUCACUUCAUUCAUUAGGAUGGUGAAUUAAGCAAAUAGAUGAAGCAACACGGCUUCGUUAAAAAACAAAAAGAAAACAAAAUGCUAGAUGCAAUGUAGACCCCAAAGACUCCUAGAAGAGCGUACGUCCAUCACUAGUUGUCUCAGUGAGAUUUUUUCGUCUUCAGAAAUUUUUCUAUUUCGUUCUGUCCAGAUAGCCCACCAAACAACAAUUAUGGUCGAUAGUUCCUUUUUCCUCAUGUUACCUCACUUAGAGCCACUAGCAUUUUAGAGCGUGUCGGUUGAAGCACAGGUACUAAGGUGUCUGCCGCGAACGAACCGGCCCCGCCGUAGAUUGUUUCUAAAGCGUAUUAGGCAGGAAGCACUCCAACAAAGCUCGUGAGAAACUACAUGUAACAAAGAGAUGGUCAACCGUCUAUGGUUCUUCCGAAUAGAGCACACAGCUUAACUCUCAAGACCAUCCCCUUAUGGACAUGCAGAUUAUCUCUCGUUAGUAACCUAUGUUUUAGCACUAGUCACCCGUAGAUUUUAUUUUUCAAAAGAGUUUUGAUCUUUCACAACUGAAAGAACCCCUUUCGUGGACGCUGCCAUCUUGUAAGAAAGUAUAAACAGAUUUAAUCGUGAAAAUUUCUAUUGAAGUCCAUAGAAAAAAAAUAUAUGCUUUUAGGGAGGAUGAAAUAUAUAUAUAUAUAUAUAUAUAUCUACUAUGCUAUCGGAAGUAUAGAGGAUCUGGUGCUUCCGAUUUUUUAGUACUUAGAUCAACCUCUUUGAUCAUUUCUAACCUUUGGAUUAAUACUAUUAUCCUGUGGCACCCACUCAACCCUAGGGGUACCACUCAACCCUGGGGGACAGCAAUCAUCCUAACCGUAUAAUUGUUGAUCCAAUGGUCAAAAAGUUGGAAGUAUCAAAUUCUCUAUACUUCCGAUAGUAUAAUAGCUAUAUAUAUAUAUAUAUAUAUAUAUAUAUAUAGCUAUUAUACUAUCGGAAGUAUAGAGAAUUUGAUACUUCCAACUUUUUGACCAUUGGAUCAACAAUUAUACGGUUAGGAUGAUUGCUGUCCCCCAGGGUUGAGUGGUACCCCUAGGGUUGAGUGGGUGCCACAGGAUAAUAGUAUUAAUCCAAAGGUUAGAAAUGAUCAAAGAGGUUGAUCUAAGUACUAAAAAAUCGGAAGCACCAGAUCCUCUAUACUUCCGAUAGCAUAGUAGAUAUAUAUAUAUAUAUAUAUAUAUUUCAUCCUCCCUAAAAGCAUAUAUUUUUUUUCUAUGGACUUCAAUAGAAAUUUUCACGAUUAAAUCUGUUUAUACUUUCUUACAAGAUGGCAGCGUCCACGAAAGGGGUUCUUUCAGUUGUGAAAGAUCAAAACUCUUUUGAAAAAUAAAAUCUACGGGUGACUAGUGCUAAAACAUAGGUUACUAACGAGAGAUAAUCUGCAUGUCCAUAAGGGGAUGGUCUUGAGAGUUAAGCUGUGUGCUCUAUUCGGAAGAACCAUAGACGGUUGACCAUCUCUUUGUUACAUGUAGUUUCUCACGAGCUUUGUUGGAGUGCUUCCUGCCUAAUACGCUUUAGAAACAAUCUACGGCGGGGCCGGUUCGUUCGCGGCAGACACCUUAGUACCUGUGCUUCAACCGACACGCUCUAAAAUGCUAGUGGCUCUAAGUGAGGUAACAUGAGGAAAAAGGAACUAUCGACCAUAAUUGUUGUUUGGUGGGCUAUCUGGACAGAACGAAAUAGAAAAAUUUCUGAAGACGAAAAAAUCUCACUGAGACAACUAGUGAUGGACGUACGCUCUUCUAGGAGUCUUUGGGGUCUACAUUGCAUCUAGCAUUUUGUUUUCUUUUUGUUUUUUAACGAAGCCGUGUUGCUUCAUCUAUUUGCUUAAUUCACCAUCCUAAUGAAUGAAGUGAUAGUAUACCACCUUUCCCUAAAAAAAAAAGAGAUGCUGUAGUUUAGACUUCUAAAUUAAAUAGAUAGAUAUGCUAAGGUUAAAAAAGAAAAAAAAGAGUACACAUUAAUUACUUGCAUAAAAAAUUUCUCGACCUUCUUGCAUUCUCAGAAGAUACAUGUGUNAUAUAUAUAUAUAUAUAUAUAUAUAUAUAUAUAUAUAUAUAUAUAUCUAUGAAAUCUGUAACAAAAUGAUGAAUAAGAUCAAGUUUUAUCCUUAGAAAACUGAUAAGGACCUCCCUAUAGUAAGAAUAAAGUGUGAAUUACACAAGCAAUUAAUUUAUAUGAACAAUUAAUAGCGAGCUUUUUAAAUUUUUCGUAGAACCUUUUUUAAAUUAAUUAUGAAGAAAAUCAAGAGGAAUUUAGCAAGUGGUUGGAUGUUAAUUAAAUGGCGCCCAAAUUAUAUGUUAAUAGAACAUACGAUCAUCUGGCCAAUUUAUGGACUAGUAUUUUUUUAGUUUGUACGUAGAGGUUGCUUAUAUAAAACAUUGCAUUAGAUUAUAUAUACAUGAACCUACGCACAGAUCCACUUUGAUUUUAAGUCACUUAUACUAACUUUUUAUCACCAUUUGUAGUUAAACUUUUUGAUGUUUAUUUGAGCACGACUUAUUAAUUCGUUCUAUUUCAAUAGUUUUUCUAUUAGAAUGAUUUUGGUUAUUUUAACACUUAACUUUAACAUUAGUUAAACAUAAAAAUGGCUACUAAUGAUUAAUUAACUCACCUAACCCAAUGGGAACCAAUCAAGCAUCACUGGCUAAUGCAAUUCCUUAGUAUCCCAUGUCAUUGCAAAAUUUACUAUUAGAGCUCUUUAAUUAAAAUUUAAAUUAAAAAAUGUAUCACUACCAAAUAAAGUAAUAAAAAUGUAGACAAUUUGGGUAACAUUGCACCGCAAGUCCCGUCACUGCAACAGAAUUAGGUUAUAGCGACACAUGUUUGGGACACUUUUGUCUAAGUGUCCCAUUUAUACAAAAAUUUUAAAAAACAUCUACUAAUGUUUAAAUAUAAAGCCAAAUCCAACAAAAAAUAAAAGGUUACUCUACUCAACCCAUCCAACCCAGCCCAUUUAGCCCGAUUACAAACAGAAAAGAAAAAACAAAGAAAAAUCGAUUACCAUCUCCCCUUCUCCUCUUACUUAUUCCAUUGAAAUCCUAGACGAAGGGCCCUUCCCUCUCGUCCUCCUCUGCCACUGCAGCCAACAAGGUAAAGUUCCGGCGGUUGGUAGAUGCUUAAAUAAGUGUUGCUAAAUUAGCAACACUCUUUUUAGAUUAUAGCGGCACUCUUUAACUGUCACUAUAUACCUAGCAACCCCGCGUAUAGCAACACUCUUUAAAAGUGUCGCUAAUUUAGCCAGCAUCACUUUUUUUGAUCUGUACCGACAUUUAAAAGUGUCGCUAUAAACCGUUUUUGUUGUAGUGCGUAAUAUUUUAUAUGUAAAAGUACUACACUACACUACUAUUUAUGUAUAAUAAGUUUCCAAAACAGGAGUCAAAUUUGGUCAACUAAAUAUGGCUAGUUUCAACCUUUCAAUAAUAACAAAAAAAACCUUGUUUUGAAAGCUCUUGCUAGCUUCAAUAACCUUAUCUCUAAGAGUUGAUAAUGUUGACCAUACAUUAUUUAGAUAUAUGUAUUAGGUAAUUUGUCCACUUCAAAGGCAAAUUCGUGGAAACUUUUUUUGAAUGAAAACGACAAAUUCUCGAACCUACUGCAAAGUAUUCAAACAAACUUGAAUGAUCCUCUCAAUAAUAUUGUUGAUUACCAACCGUAGCUAGCAUGAUUUACUAAGAACUUAAUAAUUAAUACCUAAGUUUCUAAGUUCAAAAAUUACUUCACAUCUCUAGCAGAGUUCAUUUUUUUUUAACCUGCAACAUUUCUCUCUCUCAAAAAAAGUUGUUAGUUCUAAUAAUGAAAUUCCUUAAUCACAACUAAUGAACAAAUGCUAAAGGAGAGGGAUUAAGUUGUCCAUGAACAAGUAAAAUAAUGCAUCCUCUAUAUGCUAAGAUUUAAGUGAUAGAAACGAGUUUAGAUUCAUCUUAAAACUUCCACUCGCAUAUGUGGGAAUUGAAUUCAAAACACCUUAAUUAGAACAGAGGGAGCUUAAGACAGGCUCUAAUCUUAUGUUUCUAAAAAAAAUGAUUAAUAGAAAAUAAUUCCGAAAUUAUCUUAAGUACAGUUGAACUGUGCAAAUAAGCUAAGCAACUUAUAUCUCGUUCUAAGAAAUUAUUAAUGGUGAGCCGCAAAUCUUGAGCAGACUCUAGAAAAUGUAAGAUUUGAAGAUUAGGUUAAGAAUAUUAUAAUACGUAGCUAGGCUCCUACAAUUUUAGGUUGUCCCGUAAUUGAGAGAUCAUUUUUGUUUCCAUCGUUUUUCUUUUAUCUUUCAAUAGUUGGCCCACAUUUUUGCCUUUUUUUUGGUGUUGAGGCCAAAGUUUAUAUUCUUUAGUGGCCCACAAUGUGCGUGCACAAAAAUAAUUUUUUUUAAUUUUAUUCUAUUGAAAAAAGGAAGCGGGAAUUGAGAACUAGAAUCUUUUUCUAAGUUAAACACUACAACAAAAACGGUCUAUAGCGACAUUUUUAAAUAUAGGUACAUGUCAAAAAAGUGCUGCUAGCUAAAAUUACCGACACUUUUAAAAAGUGUUGCUAUAUGUGGGUCGCUAGAUAUAUAGUGACAGUUAAAGAGUGUCGCUAUAACCUAAAAGAGUGCUGCUAAUUUACCAACACUUAUUUAAGCAUUUAGCAACCGCCGAAACUCUAUCUCGUUGGCUGCGGUGGCGGAGGAGGACGAUAGGAAAGGCUCUUCGUUUAGAAUUUCAGUGGAUUGAGUGAAGAGAGAAGAAAAGAUGGUAAUUGAUUUUUCUUUUUUUUUUUUCUUUUCUGUUUGUAAUCGGGCCAAAUAGACUGGGUGCGGUGGGUUGAGUAGAGUAAUCUUUUAUUUUUGGUUGGAUUGGGCUUUAUAUUUAGGCAUUAGUAGAUGUUUUUUUAAGUUUUAGGAUAAAUGGGACACUUACUCAAAAGUGUCCCAAAUAUGUGUCCCUAUAAUCUAAUUCUGUUGUAGUGAAAAAAGAGUUUAGGACCAACUCUAGUGCCAUAUUAUCCAAUUAAUUAGGUCAAUAAAAUAAAAGAUAUCUUAUAAAUAGUCUUACUGCUUAUAUAACGUACCGUUAUUAUAACAGAGAGUUACACUGAAUUCAGUAGUCAUUCACUAAUUAAAUAUUUUAAUCAAAUUUUUUUUUAAUAAAAAUUUUAAAAUAAUUUGUAUAGCAAAUAUGAUCAUUAUGUUAGUAUAAAUGCUUGGACGAACGCAAACAUCAAUUAAUUAAUUUGUAUUUCAAUUUUGGCGUUCCGCCGCAGCCCUACGUACGUGCGCGUGUUGCUGUCACUCGUGUGAACAAACACAGUGCAAUUGUGCAAUGCAACGACGCUCUUCGAAACCUCCUCGCAAAACCAUUUGUUCAAUUAGUUCAUCGACCCUUUCUUUACUUAGACUCUCUAUUCAACCACACGUUACUUUCAUGGCCCCAUAGAAUUAAAUAGGUUUAUUCUCACGUGUGAAAUUCUAGCGAAGUAAUUAUAUCAUGAUCUUCUUUGAUUUAUACAUGUAUAUCAAAAUAAAUUAUAUAAAAUAGAUUGAAAAGAACAACGAAAAAGAAUUAAUCGUUUGCUGGGGCUUGGUCAAUGCAAGGAAAGGCAGGGCCAAAAAAUAUCAAUAUCUAGGAAUGUUGUGUGGUUCUUCUUCUUUGAAAUAUGCUUUCUAAACCCCACUUGUCGAGCCAAUUUUUCAAAAAAGAGGUGCUUGUGUUCAAGGAACUGGAUCUAACUAAUGGAACAAAUUAAGAAGCAGCAUGCAUGUUUGUAUUAAUUUGGAAAAUCUCUUCGGGAAUCUUUGUAAUCUGUAGCAUCUGAGAAAAAAAUCUGCUCCAAAUUAAUGAGUCGCGUUCGCUGUGACGUAACAAACGAAGAAAGUAAACCCGCACUUUAUGACCAAGUGCAUGUAGUCUAUGAAUGUACGUACUCAGAUGUGUUGGAAUAUUAGAACCCUAAAACUAUCACUCUAAAUGGUCUUUUUUAUAUUUUUAUUAUCUGUCUAGGGGGAAGAAAAAAAAGGCAAGGUUUGGUUGGGAAUUAUGAUGUCGCUGUUGUGGGGUAUUGUCAUGCCAGAGGAUCGCGCUAAGGUGAAUAGUGCACUAUCCAUGAUAUUUUAUAAAUUUAAUCAAGCAAUUUAUUUUUUCUUCCAAUAUAUAUAUAUAUAUAUAUAUAUAUAUAUAUAUAUAUAUAUAUAUAUAUAGAGCAUUGAGCUAAAAUACUUUUAAAAGUAUCACCUUAUUGGUGCUUUUGAGAGUUUUCUAGCUCAACUCUCUCUCUCUCUCUCUCUGAUUACUAAUAGCCAUUGGAUCAAACACUAUUCCACCUACCACCACCUACCACUAUCAUCACAACCUUAUAUUCCUCCAUCCAAUGGUUAAAAACUCAAAAGCACUACUUCAUUGGUGCUUUUGGUCUUUUUUGUAUUUUUAUUAUCUGUCUAGGGGGAAGAAAAAAAAGGCAAGGUUUGGUUGGGAAUUAUGAUGUCGCUGUUGUGGGGUAUUGUCAUGCGAGAGGAUCGCGCUAAGGUGAAAAGUGCACUAUCCACGAUAUUUUAUAAAUUUAAUCAAGCAAUUUAUUUUUUCUUCCAAUAUAUAUAUAUAUAUAUAUAUAUAUAUAUAGAAUUGACCUGCAAUACUUUUAAAAGUAUCACCUCAUUGGUGCUUUUGAGAGUUUUCUAGCUCAACUCUCUCUCCUUGAUUACUAAUAGCCAUUGGAUCAAACACUAUUCCACCUACCACCACCUACCACUAUCAUCACAACCUUAUAUUCCUCCAUCCAAUGGUUAAAAACUCAAAAGCACUACUUCAUUGGUGCUUUUGGUCUUUUUUGUAUUUUUAUUAUCUGUCUAGGGGGAAGAAAAAAAAGGCAAGGUUUGGUUGGGAAUUAUGAUGUCGCUGUUGUGGGGUAUUGUCAUGCGAGAGGAUCGCGCUAAGGUGAAUAGUGCACUAUCCAUGAUAUUUUAUAAAUUUAAUCAAGCAAUUUNUUUUUUUUUUUUUUUUUUUUUUUUUUUUUUUUUUUUCCUUCUGAGGACGAUUUUCUCGAAAGCUGAUUUCUGUCAAAGAACAUAGGUAUUUUGACAUGUGUAUGGCUACAUCUGGGAAAUUCUUGUAGUUACUGAGGGUUGCCAAGUACUAGUUCUUUAGUGUUGUUUUAUCAGCAUGUUGGCUGAACACAUCCUAUGCUCUACUUGUAUUUAAUCUGGUCACCUGCUUGACUUCUCAAGAUGUUAUCUAGUACAUAUCGUAUAUUUUGGAUUUUCCAAUGUUGCAUUUUCUAUUAGUUUUGCUUUACUUUGUGGAGUUUUAUUAAGGGAAAACUUCAAAAACUCCCCUUGUGGUUUCGUAGUUUCUCACUUUGCCCCCCUAUGAUUUAAAAUGUAUCAAAUUGCCCCCCUGUGGUUUCGUUUUUAUCUUUUCGGUAGCUUUUUCGUUAAUAUUUCAUUAAAUUAUAUACAAAAAACUUCAGAUACCUAUCUAGAUUUAUCAAAUAUUCACUUUAGUACCCUUUAAUUUUAACUUUAUCACUGAUUUAAGAAAAAAAAAUAAUGAAAUUGAUAAGAAAAAGAGAAAAAAGAAACCACAGGAGGGCAAAUUGAUGCAUUUUAAACCACAGGGGGGCAAAGUGAGAAACUACGAAACCACAGGGGGGGUUUUUGAAGUUUUCCCUUUUAUUAAUGAAGUAGGAGCUGGGAUGAUAGGUUGAGAUCAUCAUUGAAUGGUUUAUUCAUCGUAUUUGUUAGUUUGGAUGGAUGGAUUUGUGAUGUAGCUAAUGUUGGUUACCUGAUUAGGUAAUCGGAAUUGACUUGUUGUCGCAAUCAUUGCUUCCUGCAAUUGUGGAGCUGGCAGAGGACAGACACUGGAGGGUUCGUCUGGCCAUAAUUGAGUACAUUCCUCUUUUGGCUAGUCAGUUAGGCGUUGGAUUUUUUGAUGAUAAACUGGGUGCUCUUUGCAUGCAAUGGUUGGAAGAUAAGGUAUAUGCGCAUACUUCUAUGAUCUUACAAGUAUGUUCUAGAUGACUUUCUUUUGUUAACCAUUGUAAAGCAUCUUGUUAUUGAACAUGUUGAACCACAUAUCUGUUUCCAGUCGUUAGCUUAACUCCAUAUGUACUUGUUAUUUAUUUGGAAUUAGUUGUUGUCGGAGUAGCGAUAAUUUUUGGAAACUCUUGAAAGUUGAUUCCUUAAUGAAUCUCUCUGGGAUCUUAGAGUAUGCAAUUACUUUUAGAGAUACAUACGUCGUAACCCUACAGAAUAAUAUAUUUACACAUCUAUGUUUUGUUACUAAAUUUGAUAUGCCCUCUUACUUAAGAAUAUAUCUGAGUUUGGAAAACCUUUUCUACUACAAGACUAAUCUCCCCCAUGAAUUGGAUGAUUGUCCAACUGAAUACUGGGGUAUUUUGUUAGGGGCUGUAAUUUUGAGGAGUUAGGCAUAGAUAGUAGAUUACUUCACUGGGUCAUGUUUGUAAAUUCUCUAUAAUUCAUGCAUGAGGUUGUGCAUCUCUUCCAGUAACCGAAUCUGGGAAAGUGCGUGGGUAUGGGAGUUCGCAUCCAGUUGCUCCUUUCUUUUGUUCCAUAACAAAUUAUUUAGUCUAAUAUGAAUCAUGCUUUGUUCAAAAUUAUUUUUUUCUGGCGUUUGCUGAUAUCGAAAGCCAUUAAACUAAUCUUGAGGAUUAUCCAUCAAUUGACUACAAAACAUGGUUAUUUUCAGGUUUUCUCAAUUAGAGAUGCAGCUGCUAAUAACUUGAAGCGACUUGCUGAAGAAUUUGGACCAGAAUGGGCAAUGCAGCAUAUAGUUCCGCAGGUUUGCCUCCAAAUUCUUGAUUUGAACUUGAAAACUAAGUGUUAUUUAAUUAAUCAUUUCUGGUUUCUUUGGUUGUCCUUGUGUGACUCAAAUAUGUGCAAGGUUUGCAAAAGUGGUUUCUGUACUCCUAAUUUCUUGGUUCAUGCUUAUCACAUGGAUUUAUUAGAGCAGUACUUUGUAGAUGGCAAUGCAAUAUGGUCUUGAAUCUCUUUAGUCGCAUCAUGGUAUGUGCCUAUAUAUUCAUGAUUCUGACCUUAUAUAGCCGUUUUAGGUUGAAGUGUCGAUCCUUAAGUCAGUGAAAGGAGCUUAAAAGUAGGUAUACUUGAUAUUUAAUUACAUUUGCAUCUUGUGCUAUAUGGAUGCAUAUGCAAUAUAUAGGUAGCAUCGUAAUUCAUAUGCAGUAAAUACAGUGAGAUAGUGCCUUAUUAUCUUGAUAUAUGUGAGUAUAUCAAUGAUACCUUAGUAUGAUCCUUCUCUUUUACUUUGUGGGUUACUUGUGCAUUGGUUUUUCAACUGGGCCCUGAAUGUUCUCUUCGUGUUCUUUUGGUUGUUUUGGGCGGAGGGGGUUUUGAUUUCUCGUCGUAUUGAGCAAUCACAACCGUCAUUUGUUCCACACAAGAUGGGGUUUAAUUAUCAUGAUCUUGAUUGAGCUUCUCUUGGUGUAUGUGAUGAAUGCUAUAAAUAACUAUUUACCUCCUAAUGACACAAACAAUGGUUGAUUUAAUAGUUAUAAUCUUGGCGUUUUCAUGUAUGUAUCUGCCAGUUGCUUUGAAAGUUGGAAUUAAUAUCUUGCUAUGAUGGAUUAUGACUUAAAGUUUGUGUUUGUCUUUUUUUCUUUGCUCUGUAUUGAUGAUCGAAAUUUUUCAAACAUUUUCUCGAUGCAAUAAUUGCUUCUUUCUUCUUUCUUGGUUAUUUUGGGACCUUCAGCAUAUAUGUAUUUAAAUCAUCCGUGUAAUAUUUAUUUAUGUAUGUGAUUCUUCAUUAAUUAGAAUAGACUUGCUGUCGAAGUUUUUCAUACUCAGGUGUAUCCCACAAACUUUUGUUUAAAUGAUAAAAGAUCAUAAUUAUCUCUAGGCUGUUGUGGAAGGUAUCAGGGAAGAGGCUUCUUUAAAGGUUUUCCUUUGCAUAGUGGUGACUUAAAUCUUUAUAAUUCUCUCAAUUGUUAUUUAGAUGAUACUCCCUUAAAACCAUUCCCUAAUCGUAGCUUAGUUUGUAGCAAGGCUGUGCAGUUAUUGGUUUUUGAUUAUUUUUUCUGAAGGUGCUGGAGAAGAUCAACAAUUCACAUUAUUUGUACCGUAUGACCAUUCUACAUGCAAUUUCCUUACUAGCCCCCGUCAUGGGUGCGGAUAUCACGUGCCAAAAGUUACUUCCUGUUGUCAUCGCUUCCUCCAAGGACAGGUAACUACUAUUAUCUAUCAAGAAAACAGGUUGGCUAAAAUGCUAACAAAUAUUGUGAUUCUCCUUUUGCCCCUUGAAAUAUUUAUGCUACAAUUUGCGGUUACAUUGCCUCUCUUUUCGAUAGUAUACCUUUGGGAAUAAUAUAACUUUGCUUAGAAGCAUAUGAGGUAGAAUGUAGAUUUUAAUACAUCAGGGGCCAAUGUUAAACAAACAGUAUUUAGAGGAGACAUCCUGAAUUUUAGCCAAAAAUGAACCAUCCUAUUAGGCAUCUGACAUGGAUGUUUUGACACUGCAACAGGGUACCCAACAUCAAAUUCAAUGUGGCAAAGGUUCUGCAGUCUCUCAUACCCAUACUUGAUCAUACUGUGAGUAACUUAAAUUCCUCUGGUGAUUGUAUAUUUCAUACCCUAUUUUUAGUGCCUGUUUGGCUCAGUUUCUUGAGCAGUUUCUCUGCUCUGAAAAGUGGUAGGCAAGCAUUUGGCAAUAAAAAAUCCCUGAGCUUUUCUGUAGCGGCAAGCUAUAACGAGCUUUUAGCCCUCCUAGAAGUGGUUGCUCCAAUUUGAAGCUUUUGCUCCGUUGUAGUCAGAGAAGCUCUUGGGGUGAUUAUAAUUGAAGAGCAAUUAACGCCUCCACAAAAAGCUCUACUUGAACAGUACUUCGUACUUCUAUAGCAGCUCCAGCUGUCAAAGUAAGUGUUCUUACAAGUUUAUGAUUGCUUGAAAUUUUUCGUACCUCAGGUGGUGGACAACACGAUUAAGCCGUGUCUCCUCGAGCUCAACGAGGACCCGGAUGUGGAUGUUAGAUUCUUCGCUGGCCAAGCACUUCAAGCGUGCGAUCAAGUCAUGAUGUCGACCUAGAUCGCUUGGUCGGGGCGUUUCGGUUCGUCUUAUUUUCUCUCGCGUCUUCUAUGUAAGCCAUGUUGUAUGUUUUCACUGAUGAAGUUUGAGCUUCAAGCUUCUUAAAUUUGAAUGGUUUAAUUUUAAGAGAUGCUAAUAUAUAGGUUUUUUUUUUUUUCCUUUUUGACUACCUUCUUUAUAUCUACUAUAAAUGAAGGUGCAACCAUUUUAUGUAGGCUUUUUUUUGUCAUUUAAUUUAUUCUGGUGCUUGCAGGGUUCUAUUUCUUUUGAUCUUUAUCAUGAAAGCCUUAUUGUAAUUUGUUUUAGGAUAAAUUACAGUUUUGGUCCCCAAACUAUGAGGCACAUGACACUUUCAUCCUCUAGUUUUAAUUUGUUGCAAUUUGUAGCUCCGAUUUUGAAAAUUGUUGCAAUCAAGUUCCAUGAUUCGAGUGGUUAACCAAAUGGUGAUGUGCUGCUGAUAUGAAGAUGAUAUGGCAUUUAAUUUAUUGCUGUAUUAUUAAUUACAACACACAUUAUUUUCAUAUCAGCUACAAGAUAAUAUUUUGUCUAAUAAAUUGGGUCGUGGGAUUUGAUUGUAGCAAUUUAAAGAAUUUGUGCGUCUCACAGGUUGGGGACCAAAAGUGUGAUUUAUUGUGUUGCUUAUUCUCUAUUCUACACGAUUAUGAUUUUCAUUGGUUUAAUGCGCAGUUUGAUUUAAAGUUUUUUGAGAAAUUUAAAAUUCAGUAAAAUGAGAAACUCAAGUCUCAAUUUGGGAAUAAAAAAUACAAAUUUUUUUUAUUUCCCCCCCAAUAUUUUUGGUUUUUAGGAAGUAGUCUUAGAUCAUCAUAACAUAAAAAGUUAAUAAUAAUAAUUUUUUUUAAAAACCCCGAAAAACCUAUAAGUAGCCACAAGAGGCCUUUUGAUUUGUAAUGUUUGUGUCUUUCGGUUGAGUCUGAAUUUUUAUAUUUGGAAUUUGGUUUGCACUAUCCAAAUAUAUUUGAGGCGAAACAAAGAUUUGAAUGUACGGAUGCCAGUGAAUUUGAUAAUCCAAAAUUUUAUCCAAAUGCGGACGGGUAUAGAUUUAUUUGAUGCAAAAUAAAUAUAAUUUCGAAUAUGAGUAUAAAAAAUAAAAAUUCGAUGUAUUUGAGUUUAGAUAUGAAUCUUGUCUAUACCCGAUCUAAAACCAAAUUAGAUCCAAACUCGAAUAGAUAUAAUUCCAAGCGUUUAAUGCUAUUGAGUUUUGAGUUUUUUAUUUUUAAAUUUACCAUUGUGAGCAUUUUUAUCCGUUAGAUCAUACUAUUCAAUCAACUAUUCACUAAACUGUAGGGACUAUCCUCAUUAGUGAGCUUUAAUACAAAGGCGAACCACCCGAGCUCUACACCCCGAAAAUAUGGAGAGAGCUUUUUCAGGGUUUGCAAUUCAUUCGUUCCAUGUGAUGUUUUGAAGUGCGAUAAAAAAAAUUUUAAAAAAAGUUUGGGGUUCAGGUUCAGGUUCAGGUUUGUAAUCCGGUUCGGCUUUGAAUGCAAAAUUUCAAAGUCCGUAAGAUUCGGAUUUGGCUUUGAAUGCAAAAUUUCAAAGCCUGUCGGAAUUUGAUUAUCGGUGUCGGCUUCCGAUUCGGGUUUAUGUUCUCUUUCGAAGUAUUAUUCUCUUUUUCUCUUCAUUCUUAAAAACUUUAGCAACUUUUCAAGUAAACCCCCUGACUUUUGAGCCUGACAAAUUCACCCUCCAACCACCCAACCCCUAAUUUUGGCACUCAUAUAAUGUUACCACAUGCAAUUCGAUCUUGCGAACAGCUAACGGGCCACGAUUUGACACGUCAUGAGAAACCAACGGUCACAAUGAUCUUGCCAACGAUCCCGCCUUUUCUUUUCUUUUCUUUAAAUUUAUUGUACUAUUUUUUUACAAUAAUAAUUCCAUUACAUAUUUUAUAUAUAUAUAUAUAUAGAGAGUUGGACUGGGCUACUAUUAGUAGCAAAAUUUCAUUGUUGCUACCAGUUUUUUAUCUUUUGGAUCAACUCUUUUUAUUAUUUCUAACCAUUAGAUUAAAUACUAUAACCUAGCGGAAACCACUCAAUCCUAGGGAGACCACUUAACUCUAACUGACUAAUAUCAUCCUGACCCUAUAAUUUUUCAUCCAAGGGUUAAAAAUUUGAUAGCAAAAAGAGCGUUUUACUAUUAAUAGUAUUCUAGCAUAAUUCUAUAUAUAUAUAGAGAGAGAGAGAGAGAGAGAGAGAGAGAGUUGAGCCAGAAUACUCUCAAAAGCACCAAAAAGGUGGUGCUUUUGAGUUUUUAGCCAUUGGAUGGAGAGAUGAAGGAUUGAGAUGAUAGUGGUAGAUGGUAGACUGGUGAUAGGUGAAAUAGUGUUUGAUCCAAAGGCUAUUAGUAAUCAAGGAGUAGAUCCAAAGGCUAGAAACUUAAAAGCACCAAGAGGUUGGUACUUCUAAAAGUAUUCUAGCUCAAUUAUAUAUAUAUAUAUAUAUAUAUAUAUAUAUAUAUAGAGAGAGAGAGAGAGAGAGAGAGAGAGAGAGUUGAGCUAGAAUACUUCCAAAAGUACCAAAGAGGUGGUGCUUUUAAGUUUUUAGCCUUUGGAUGAAGAAAUGUAGGGUUAGGAUGAUGGUGGUAGGUGGAAUAGUGUUUGAUCUAAAGGCUAUUAAUAAUCAAGGAGUAGAUCCAAUGGCUAAAAACUUAGAAGCACCAAGGAGGUGGUGCUUCUAAAAGUAUUCUACCUCAACUAUAUAUAUAUAUAUAUAAGCUGCUAUACUAUCUGUAGUACGGAGGCUUCCCUGCUACCAAGUUAUUUUCAAUGAUCUGGCCUUUAAAUCGACGAUUGGCUUCGUUAGACUUGAUCUACACUAUUGAAAAUAUUGAAAGAAUGGUUUGAAGUCGAGCCACACGCUCUUAUCUAUGUGACUGAAAUUUUGGGACAUUUAUAUAAUUCAGAUAUAUUUUUUAAAAUAGUGUUUAUAGUACUAAAAAAAAUUGAACUAUAUAUUUGAUCUAAGCCUACCUUAUAUUCAUUUGACGGUCUAAUUAAUGAAUGCUCCCUUAAGUUGGUGUAUGUAACAUAAUUGUUGCGGUUAUGAAAUGAUAACUUAGACCAAAUUAAACCAUGUACAACAACGUAGCUAAUUUGUUCGGAAAACACUGAUUUGCUAUAAAAUCUCUCUUAUCAUGUGGAAUAACUAGUUUAGUAAUGCUAUACCCAUAAUUAAUAAUGAAUUCGCGUGUAGAAUAAUCCUUAAAUAAGGUGAAGCAAUCCAUUAUGGUUCGCAAAUUUUCAUUAUGGAUGUAGCAUUUAACUCCCUUUGUAUCCCUACUUUAAUCUUGUAAAAUUUCAUAUGAAAAGAAUAGUCAAAAAUAAUCUCAAAAAAUUUAAUUAGACUAACAUUUUGAUACUUUUACCCAACCUCGUUACUUAGCAAAAUAUUGUCGAAUGUAAAACAAACAAUUAGUUUUUUCUCUAAAAGUUUAAGCUAUGUACAGAGAAUUUUAAUUAAUAUUUAGUAUUCAACACUUUUCCUUACUAUGUCUUGACUCAAGAUUUUCAAGAUAUAAAUUUAAAUUAUAUAGAAAAAAUAAAAUAAAACUAGGAUUUUUGUGAGAUUCAAAUUUAGUAUCUAUUGCUCGAUAUCAUAUGAAACAACUGGUUUUCUUAUAUAAUAUUCAAACUAAUUAUUAGUACCUACUGCUCCGAUAUCAUAUAAAACAACUGUUUUUCUCAAUAAAAAAAAAAAAUUGAGUUAUAAAAGAUCGGUUAGUAUUGAGUCAUUAGAAUAUAUAACGAUUACUAAACCAUUUCGGAGGGAUACCAUAACUCCUCGUGCUUGACAUUAAUUGCCAGAAUACGACUUCCUCCUAAGCAGAAUCCAAAUUCAAUCACACAAAUACUUCCUACACACUCUAUCCAUAAUAUUUCAAUGCAUCAACAGUAAUAAUUAGGGAGCAGUGACUUAAACUUCACAACAUAUAUAUGUGAGCCAAAGACCUUUAUUUUUUUCUUAAGAGAAAAUGGGUAGGAAAGGGAAGGAGCCCUUCAUGCAAUACAAAAGAUUAGCAACGAAAAGCGCUUCUGAAGAAGCAAUUCAUGAAGAGCGAGUCCCCAAAGGGUACGUGCCUAUACUAGUAGGGAAAGAUGAAAUAAUGGAGAGGUUCCAUGUGCACGUGAAGCUCUUUAGUGAUCCAUGCAUUGUGGUGCUACUGGAUAUGGCUGCGGAUGAGUUGGGGUACAAGCAAGAAGGUGUUCUUAGAAUCCCUUGCGAUACCGAUCAUUUCCGAAGGGUGAUUGGUACUGUUCUAUCGAAAGAGGAAGUAACGAGCUUUACUGUCCCUACUUAGCUAGCUAGUUUUAUUUUUCUUUCUCGCAAGUGAUCUCACGCAUGUAUGUUUGGACCUUCGUUUUUGUGUUCCCUUUUUAACUAACUUUCUUGUUUGAAAGGAAGCAAAAGUUUGGGGUGUCGAAUAUUGAUCCUUAUAGGGUUUGAUCAUUCACUAAUUUUGUGUUUGUCGGGCGUCGGUGAUGAGAAAAGCACAAACUUCCUGUAUGCAUCGGACCAUAAAAUCCAUUUCGAUCGUUAAAACUUGCUUCUCCUUCUUCUUUUCUUCUCCCCCUUGUUGAUGAUCAUUAUUGUUGGUGGAGAUCAAUGCUGCUAUUUUUGAAGAAAAACCUAAUCUUCUGGUAUGCAGGAAUAUUGGUUUUUGGCUAAACGUAUGUAGAUGAAUGACGCAGUGUUUAAGCAUAGAUGAGUAAUGGGGUGCUUGCAGGGAACUUUAAAGAAAGUGAAAAACAAUAAUAAUAAUAAUAAUAAUAAUAAUAAUAAUAAUAAUAAUAAAACAUGUCUUAAAAGAUCGAUUGUGCAUUUGAUUCAUACUCCAAAGAAAAUCAGCAUUGCACUAAUAAUCUGUAACAAAACACAUUAUUAUCGAUGGUUAUUGCACUUGAAGUUUGUAUACUCAAGUUAAUUAGAAGGCUAGCUAUUUCGAGAGUACGAGUUAUUGUCCUCGAUCAUAAGUAGCCUUACUUCAAAAAGUACGUAAAAUUCAUAAUAAGAUGGUGUUGAUGUUGGAUAAUAAUGAAAAUUUUACAAGAGUGCGCACAAAGCAUAAAAUAAAAUGAAACAAAGAAUAAGCAGAUAGAUUGAAGAGAAUGUUAAUAAUCAAAUGAUGUAUUUCAUGUGUUUUAAUAAUUUUAUUUUAAAAAAUUGAAGAAAAUUUAUGGAUUUUAUGGUGCCUUGCCUGCAGAAUAAAGUCAAUUAUUCUGAAGUUUCUUUAGCUAUUUUGGAGUAUUUGAGACGGUAAAAUUUCAUUUAUAUCAUUAUUCCAAAAAAUUAAUCAUGUACAAUUUUUUAAAAAAGUUUACAAUAAGUUCAGAAAUAAUUUUAUAACAUUGAAAAUAACAUAGGAUUAUUUUUUUGAAAACAGAAAUAUUAUUUGGGCAAGAAGAAACAUAAUUAAUUAUAAAUGAAAUAGCCUCUAAUUAAUAUUCAGCUUUAUAAACACAAGGAAUCCUUAAAAUUAAUCACUUCAACUCUUCAAGUUGUUUCCUAUUGUUUUAUAUAUUUAUCUGGAGCUAGCAUCAAAUAUUACGAAAAAUGCGUGACUAAACGACUUCGCUAUAUUUGAUAUUUCUCAACCAGUACUCUCCUGUUCUUAUGCAACAAUUAUUAUAAUUAAUAUGGUAGCUAGGACAUAAGACCAGUAUACAAAAUUUCCACUGCAUUAUUUUUUGCUGAUGCACGUGCAUCAUAGUCAAAUAAACAAUUUCUUUGCAACCUUUUUCCUCACAUACUCACGACCAAUGUAGUAUUCUCACAAGUUCCCUUCUCUACUAACUCAUCUAUUCGAUUUAAAAUUUAUGGCUGAAAGUUCCUAUCUUCUAGGAAAAAAAGAAAAAAAAAAGGAUUCAAGUAGAGCCAUAAAAUCAAAAGUUAAAUUUAGGCUUUUUAAUGUAAAAAAACCUUUCUUUGCUAAACUUUUGCUGAGAAAAAAAAUGGUUUUUUUUGCACCCUUAACCAUUGCGGUAAUUAAUGUAAUAGCAAAAGGAGGCUUCAUGAAGCCCACUAAAAUUCUUAAUAUAUGAUUAAGCAAGAAAAAAUAGAUGCAAUAUGCGGCUUUAAUUAAUUUGCUGACGUGAUGACAUGUUACGUGCUGUUAAUUAAAAAGAAUUCCACUUGAGAUUUUUUUUCUUUGUUUAAGUAUAUCUAUGUUUGUAUGUUGUGACUAUUGGUCAAUAUCAAGGAUGUCAUCUUGAAUUGAACUUUUCUUAGCAUAAGAAAAGAGUUUAACUUCAACGUCCUGCAAAUCCAUUAGCAUAUAUAUAUAUAUAUAUAUAUAUAUAUAUAUAUAUAUAUAUAUAUAUAUAUAUAUUCAUUUAUUUAUUUAUAAAUAUAUUUAUAUAUAUUAUGNAAGAAAACUUGAAAUGCUAUCAAAAUGAGAAUUUUUAUCAUGAAAAUGCUAGGACGUUAGAUAACGACCAUGAGUACGUAAGUUUAAUUUUAAUAACCUACUAGAGCUAAAGUGAUAUAAUCUGGUAUAUAUCUUAUUCAUCUCGAAAACUACGAAAGUCCUCAGGAAAUUUUUCACCAAAUAUACAGUCGUAUGAUUACACAGUGUAAAUCUAAUUAAACAUGUCAUAUCUAGUGGUGUAGUCGUAUAUAUCUUCCAUAGGUAUUCUCCGAGAUUAGAGAUUUACUUGGUCUGAUGAAUUAUGCAGAGAAUUAAUCUUCACAAAUUUGCUAGCUAGAUGAUCUAUCGCAGUAUACAGGUAAAAAUUUUCUUACUUCUAUUAUUCUUUUUUUCUUUUCAAAUUAUAACUACCCCUGUUUUAGUAAUACAACCAAUUAAUUAGAUCAGUUCUAAUUAACCUUUCACUAUCAGAUCAUACGUGUUUAUAUUUUUAUCCAUGCAUACAUCACGUUACCAUAUGAGGAAGCUAGAAUACAAAAGAAAUAUAAAUAAUAAGCAUAAAUAAAAUUUAUAAUAUUCAACCAUCCCUAUUUGUGUUCGCCUAGCUAUAUAUAUAUAUAUAUAUAUAUAUAUAUAUAUAUAUAUAAACAAGAUUCGUAACAACACACUCAAAUUAAGCCUAGAGAAAGAAUCAGAAAAGAUAAAUGAGGAAAAAGCCCUUGGUUCCUCGCGGACAUAUCCCGAUGCAUGCUCAUCGGGCAGGGAAAAAUGAUAGAAAAUAUUUUGGUGAACGCCAACGUGCUAAAGCAUCCAUAGUUCAUGGUGUUCUUGGAGCUUGGGGCACUCGAAUUCAGGUAUGAUCAGCAGGGGAUCCUGCAAAUUUCGUGCAUCGUCGAGCAUUUUCGCAUGGCAGUUGAUUUGAUCACGAGGAACAAGCGUAGAAGUGCGUUGUUGUCGGCUCCUCUUGGCUCUAGCCUUGAUGUACUAAGCUGAUUGGAGAGUAUUUUUCAAACAUUUUGAGGGGUUACUUUCAAUUAAGUACUUAUCUAUUUUUCAAACAUUUUGACAGGAACAUUUUCAGUGUUUUGAAUAAAGUACUUUGAGCUUUUUGAAUUUUGAGUCUAGGUCAUUUUCAAUGUACCAAGUGAGAUAGCUCUUAAUUUCAACAAGUGCAUAGAGAGAAAUAGAUCACGUACGUAGAUUAGGCUUCAAAUUUUGUGGAUUGGGCUAUGUUUGUCUCAUCCUAUUCUCAAGUUUUGUUUUAAAAAAAAAUUUCUUUUUCUUAGCAAGUGAAAUUUUCCAUCAUUUUUCUUUUUUUUUUUAUUAUAGAUUUCUUAUAAGGGUGAUUUGUGAUUGAGAACUAUUACAUUUUGUUGGGAAAUAAUAGUGACAAAAACCAAAUCCUUGCACCAAAGACCAUGUGUAUCUAAUUAAUAGGCAUAUUCCUUGUUCUCAACCAAAACUGUUCCCAUUUUCUCAUCCACUUUGAACAUGCAUGAACAAUUUUUUUUUUAUUAAUAUCCAUUUUCAAUUGAGUACAACUACAAAAGAAAUAAUUGUUUCAAAUUAAAGUACUUCAAAGAUUUUGCUAAACUGAACCAUUCAAUGCGUUGCGAAGGCGUGGGCCGAGCCCGGUUUGAGCCUGGACCUUGAGGCCCAGAGGCCCAAUUUGUCGUAGAACUUAAUUAAUAAAUAAAUGGAUGAUUGAUACAUAAAAAAUCUGUUCAAACGAUCAUAAUAUAAAUUGUUUUCUUAAAAAUUAAUGUAAAGCCAUUGAAUGAUUUCCUUCAACUUCAAGCUGCAGACAAAUUAAUUUGAAAUCAAAUCACACUUUAAACGUGAAUGAAUGUGUUCACCGUGCCUAAGGGCUUUUUCGAAUCCUAGUUAAUUCAUAUUUCUAACUAAAUUUAUUUUUAAAUAAAAUAAACGAAGCGAAUAGUACGUAUGCUAUCUAUCUCUAAAAAAAAACCUAAAUAUAUAUUUACUAAACAUUAAAAAAAAACUUGCUCGAUGUUAGAAUCUUCAGAACUGUAGAUACAGGUCCAGAGCUCAAAUCAUGUUUCGAGGACAAAUAAAGCCUAUGUAUGUGCGCCUACGGGGAGACGAACUAUAUAUAUAUAGUGGGCGGGUAUUCUUAUGGAAGCACGGAGCCCUCCGUGCUUCCAAGUUGUUUUCGAUGUUCGGACUUUCGAAUCGACGAUCGGCUCCGUUAGAGUUGAUUUAGAGUAUUUGAAGUACCUAGAAAAUAAAUUUUGUGAUUUUUCGAUAUCAUUUGCCUAGUGAUCGAAGGGUUUCAAAAUCAAUAAUUUUAAUGGUCGUGGUGAACCGAUUGCAAGUUUAACGGUGUAGAAAUAUCCAAAUCACAUAAAAUUUUGAUAGAAAAUUCUUUAUAGGCCGCCGCUUUAGCAGCGUGUGUGCGGUGCUGUUACCAAAAGAUCGGGGACCCGCCGCUUUAGCAGCGUGUGUGGGCUGUGGUGAAACCCACAUCGUCGUUCGUCGCCCUAAGGCUUUUAGGUAUAGUGUAGUUGGUUCCCAACCAGAAUUGGGAUACCUUGACUGGAGAGAUCCAGAUUCGUAAAUAGAGGAUCCAGGUUAACUGAGAUCCAAGUUGUAGGAAAUGUGUUGGAUUCAAUAAUGAAAUCCAAAUAACGAAAGUGUAAGAAUUGGAUCCAAAUAAUGUGAUCCUAGUAGUAAGAAAAGGCUGGAUCCAAAUGAACUGAGAUCCAAUUCGUCGAAAGUAAAGUGUUGGAUACAGGAAACGUAAUCCAAGUUGUAGAGUAAAUAAAUUGGAUACAGGAGCUGUCAUCCAAAUUACGGUGAGCUAGAUAUCCAAAUAAGUACAGGUGGAUAUAUACAAGGAAUCGUAAGAAUUGUACGUGAACGGAAAUGGUAAGAAUAUAGUACGAAUAGUAAAUAUGAAAUCGUAUCGUAGUAAUGAAAUUAGUAAGAUCCCAAUAGUUGGAUCAAGAGUACGUGUAAAUUAGAGCGUUACAGUUGUAUGUAAGUUAUAGAGUAAAAAUUGAAUAUAGCAGUUAUACGUAAAGUAAGAUACGUAAAACGAAUGUACGUAAGUGCAUUAAUAGAUCGAAAUAAGUUGUCCGAGUAUUACGUAAGAUAAAUCGUUAAUGUAGUGUGAUAGUAGUACGUAAUAAAUCGAUGUACGUAGUAAAUGUAAAUAUACGUAGUUGAAAUCGUAGAUGUAGUAUAAUACGUAAAGAUGAAUCGUAGUUGAUAUGGCUAGUAGUUGUACGUAGUUGUACUUUCAGAUUAUUAAUCUGUAUUUCCGCUGGAUCAGCGAAGCCAUUUGGUUGGGUGGAAUUGAGCGCGAGGCUAACGAACAGCUGUGAACGUUAGCCGGAGGGCGCCGUGAGCCGUGGGAAACCCGGGCUGUUCGAGAACGCGGAGUUGGCACAAGGCGAAACGUUUAGGCCUUUAAUAUCCAGAAGCCAAUACGCGGUGCUACGGGGUGCAGGAAAAAGUGCUGGAAUGCUGCGGCAGAGCCUGGAUGUCCGUUCUUACUUCGGAAUUCCGAAUAAAGAAAUUAUUGAAAUUUUGCCGAGCUGCUUACGAGUUUGGCAGAAGCGGGUGCGCAAAGAACUGGAUCGUUAAUCCAACGGAUCGUAAGUUUUAUCUAGUUUUGGGGUGUAAUCGUUUUAGGGGUAAACCCUACGGGAUUACGUUGUAUCCGAAUUAUGGAGCCUAAACUAGAUAUUUUGUUCGUUUUCUUUCGAACAAAUAGUAGAUCUUCGAGUAGAUCCUCGUAAGCUUGAGUAAGAUCUCACAAAUUUCGUUUGAGAUCUUUAAGUGGUAAUCUCGAAGUACUCUUUUGGUACCUAAAGUACCACAAGAUUCGAAGAUGUUCCAAGAUUUAUGUAAUCUUCGAGAUUUAGAGAUUCGAAAUCCCAAAUUUUGGGUAGGAUGGUUUUAGGUGGUACUCUCCUCGUUCCACGAAUGGAGAGGUUUUCGAAGUUUCACUCUUCUUCUACUUCUACUCCUGCCUCUACUUCUAGAAGGAGAAGAAAAGGAAACGAAAGAGAAAAAGAAGAAGAAAAGGAAGAGAGAAAAGGAAAGAAAGGAAGAAGAAGAGGGAAGCCAACCCGUGCUUGUCUCUCUCUCUCUCCCGACACCCUCACACUCUCUCUCCCUAUUUUUGUGAGAGAUUAUGGGAGAGUGUACACAACAUUGUUAUACGGUGAAUCGGGGAGACAAAAAGGUUUUAGACGUUGAGUUGGACGUCAAAGCCCGAGGAACAUGGCCAUGUCCCAAGGAACAAGGCCAUGUUCCGGACCGUCUGUCGGUUUGGGCUCCAACGCGUCACGAACAUGGGCAUGUUCCUAGGAACAAGGCCAUGUUCCGGACCGUCGGAGUUUGGGUUCUCGAGGUCUCACGACAAAAGUGAAGCAAAGCCGAGAUGAAGCGCGGCUAGCUACAGUUUUGGUAAGGUUGUGGAAACCCUGAGUAAAAAAUGAGAAGGUUUGAACAACCUUAUGGCUUACCUUGAACAGGUAGGUUGAAGAAGCGUAUGAAAUCAGCAAAAUCGAUUUCAAGCUAUUAAAGAAAGCUUUGGAGCCCCCAAUGUAUUUAAUACCUCUAAAACCCUAAUCAAUCUUCAUUCGAGCAGAGUACGUCCGGCCGACUUGUUUCUAUAUGCUAUGACCAGGUUAUACAAGCCCGGUUAUAGUGAGGACCUGUUGGUUAUGUUGGAUUAAUUCCGGAUUUAAAGAAAAAAAUAUAAACCCGUCCGGGUAUGUGCCCGUAUACUCGAUCAUUCAUUUAUAGGAACGGUGCAGACCCGGAUAUUUUUUGCUCGGGUUGUGUUGGGGGGUCGAUGAGGGGAGAGCUGGGCUUGGAGGAGAGAACGAAAGAGACAGAGAGUGAGAGAGAGAGCGAGAGCAGAGUGUACGUUUUGUGGUGGCGUGGUCGAGGGCGGGACGCACGGCCCUGGUUGUUUGGAGUCGCGAGGCAAAGAUCCGAAGGCUAAGGAGUAGAAGCAGGAGGAGAGCCGGAGCACGUGCUAGCGGCGGAGACACUGCAAGCCAUUCAAGGCAGUAGACAAAACGGAAGAAACAAAAGGGGAAAAACUACUCAUAAAAACACUAAACACCACCUUCGUUAGCUAGAUCUCCAAAGAACAAGGUAUGCUAACUUCGCUAGCUAGAAAGUAAACCUAAAAGCAUAACCUAAUCCUCUUCUAUCCCAAACCAAACUGAAGAUUCCCAAAGCAGCGGAUUUUUAAUCCCGACGAACUAGGCUACCCCCUAUAGAUCCCAAAAAUCCCGAAACCUACUACCACAUUAACCUACAAAACUACCUAUUCACCCGUACUAGAUUAUGUAUCCAAACAAAAAUAACACUUCUUAUAUCUUAAUCUACUAGAUAGUAGUACACAAGAACAAUAUUAACGAAAUAAAACGGAAAGAACACAACACUAACUUUAAGCUUCCCCCGCAAAAGACAAAACAUGAUUCAUGGACCUUCCUAGGCUGUACAAGAACUUAAUUAAAGAAGUCCCUAAACCACUAAUUAAUUAAUUCUAUUAUUCCUAUAGUAACACUUCUUUUAAAUAGUAUCAAAUUGAAAAACACCCCACAAUUCAAAGUUUAAGUUUCACCUGGUCGAAGGGAAAAAAAAAAAAAGAAAAUUACCAUCUAUAUAACCAAUAGAACACCGUGAUAGAAAGUUUUAAAAAGAGAUUAAAAGGUUUGAACGAUCACCAUUAAGAAUCAUCAAAGCCACUUUGAAAAAUUUGGGAAUACUCCUUCUAUAUUCUCUAAAUGAAAGACUAAGACGUCCUAACUUCAAGAUCGUUUAUAUAUCUUCGACAACUUAUAAUCUAGGACAACAAAAGUUAAAUAAUUAAUAAAUAUGUAAAAACACGGUGGUUGGUCAUGAAGAGUUAGAUUUUGCAUGUAUUAAUUUAACUACACCUGUAGAUCUCUGAUGUAAAAAACUUAAAUACGAAACAACAAAUAACAUAAAACGUAUAUUUGUCAUCUUCUUACAACAUCACAGUGACGUGCGUUGUUGACAGUAUUCAUUAAAUUACAGCAUAUCUUAUAAAUAGAGUAUUAAUUAAAUGAGUGGGUAUAACUCUAUAUAUAUGAUAACUCUAUAUAUUAAAGUUGCUGAACAUUAGAAAACAAGUACAACGGUAGUACAUAAAGAGCAAUUGUACCAUAAGCUUUCAUGAAAUAACGAAUAAAUGGCACAAUUUCUAUGCUAAUAGAAAGGUUAAUAUAUAUCUUUAUUUUUGAGUUUGUAAACUUUUUGUUAAUGUUUAGUCGGGCACGAGCAAUGCGUCAUCAACGAUUACGUUAGAAAGAGCUAACCCGUACCCUAAAUGGUAUUAAUUUUAUCGAGUGGACUAGGUUAAGAAGAUUAAAAACCCGCUGAUUUAGUAAGAUUCGAGCUAGAUUAUUUUCGUCUUUUUUAGCUUCCGUAUUAUUCAUGGCCAAUUCUUCCACCGUCCGUACUUUGACGAGGGAAAAUAAUCAAAGAUUCCAGAUGUCCGAUACGACCGGAUAAGUUCGGAAAUCUCGUAUCAACGAUUUGUUCGAGCCCAUGACCAUGUUAUAAGAACCCGGUUAAAGAUAAUCCAAACGCUCUUCGUUCAGUCCAGUAUAAGGUUAGGCUACGCAGUUAAGAAGGUCAGGUAAUAUAAUAGUCAAUAUGUAUAAUUGAACUUAUACAAGCUCAGGAAAAAGAAUUCGCAGAUUUGGGUUAAGCGACCUAGGUUUAGGAGUAUGGCCAAUUUGUUUAUAUGUUUUACUUAUGCAGGACUACCCGACCGUCACCUCCAAUGACCCUGAUCGAGAAUUUAUAAACCGUGCCGGGUCAGAUCAAAUAACACAGAUAUACCAGAGAUCCGUCUCUUUCCGGGUUGUGUACGGUGAAGACCCGACUUCUUCCCGGGUUGUGAAAAAAGCGACGUUCAUUACAUAGACGGGGUGUUAAAGUUGGCUUUGGAUAUAGGAUAUCCUCCCGAUUUGUACAGAAUAUCUACUAAAACUUUUUGUUUGUAUAAUAAAUCUAAUCGUUUCCAUAUAAAUCUACAGUUGCUCAUACUUCAAUUCUAUUUAACAAACGAGUCUGCCUUAAAGAGACAGACUAUAUUUAAUACAUUCUAAACAAUAUGAUUUAAAUAGAAAUUUUAAAUAUUAGUACGAUGUUUACUAUGGAGAAACCAGUAUUACAUUAUGUUUAUGAGAGUAGUAACGAGCCCUAUAAAAUAAAAGGCUCGUACCCUUAUUAUUAACAAAUUAAGUACAUCACGAAAACUAACUUGUUUGACGAACCGGGAAAAGAAAAAUCACUUCUACUGACGAUUUUCUUUGAGAUAGUCAAGUAUCAUCAUAAACAGUUGAAACUAAUGACACAUCACAUACUAACGACUCAAAAGAAUGUAAUCUAAAACUGUGUAAAUACCAACGACUGACAUAAACAUGUAAAUUAUAACGGUACAAUUCAACUUACUCCAUACAGGUAAGAUCAAUACGUUCAACAUCCAAAUGAAGAAAAGUUCUUGAGUCAGUUCCUACAACCCAAGAAACCUUCUCAGUAGUCUAUUAGUACAAGAAAACAUUAAGUUCAACAGAUGAAUUAAACUGGCGAUAAUUGUCCAAAAAUCUAAUUUUAUUCAUUAACGAGCGUUGAUGAGUAUAAAAGACAAUAAGUUUAAAGAAUAAAAGAAAAAAUAGAGAUCUUCAAAAAACACAACUAAAAGAAAGUUUUAACAACAUAAAAUUACAGCAUUAAACUAAAGAAUACCAUAGGAGGAAUAAAACAGAGUACUAUAUAUCUUGAUCCGACUUUAUGAUAAUUAUCGUGGUUACUAAACCACGAUAAUUCAAAAGGUGGUAACCUAAUUUUCUACACGCCAAUCCUACUACAUCCGGGGGGAUCCCAAAUCAUGCACCAACUAACUUAUCAUAUUAGAUUGCCCAUUUUUAUUAGUUUCCCUAAUUACAUUGCCGUCUUUUGAACUAUCGUUUCACAAACCGCGAUAGCUAUCGUAUUGUCGGGCUGAUAUAUAUAUAUAUAUAUAUAUUUUCUCUCUCUCAACUCGAUCUUAUGAUAGCUAUCGUUUGUUCGAGGCAACGGUGGGUAAACAAAAGCUACUACCUCGGAGGUUUAGUUGCUAGCCGUGGCAACUUGUACUAGAUAUGGUGAACUUCACAAAUCUUUAGUUUAAAGUAUGUAAAAGCUAUAAUAAGAAAAUAGGUAGCUCGCCUGUGUUUUUACUUGCCGACUUUUACUUAUAAGGAAUUUUUUACUACUAUCCUCGGAACAUUAGUUUUAGUUCUCAUAUCUAGAACAAAAUUUAUCAAAUUACUUAAAAGAUUAUUUUUAAGUUAACUAAACCUAUAGAAAUGCGGCAAUUUGCUCUUUUGCUGAGUAUAGCUGGUAAUUUUAAUAUUUAAAACUUUGGGAAACUAGUAAUCCGUUUACUACAGCUUUUCUAAACUUUAAAUUAAAGAUUUGUGAAUUUCACCAUAUAUAGUACAAGUUGCCACGGCUAGUAGCUAAACCUCCGGGGUAAUAGCUUUUGUUUACCCACCGUUGUCUCGGGCAAACGAUGGCUAUCAUAAGAUCGAGUUGAUAUAUAUAUAUAUAUAUAUCUCUCUCUCUCUCUCUCUCUCUCUCUCUCUCUCGUCCCGACGACACGAGAUCCCUCGUGCCUCCGGAGGCACGAGGACUCUGCAAAAGCUACUACCUUAAAAGCUUAGCUGCUAGCCGAGGCAAACUGAACUAGAUCGCGUAAACUUCAAAGAUCUUUUAUUAAAAACGCUAAAAAUCUAUAGUAAAUGGAUCACUAGCUUUCCUAAGUUUUAGGUAUUAAAAAUUACCAACUAUAGACGGCAAAAGUUCAAAUUGCCACAUCUUCAUAAGUUUAGUCUACUUUAAAACUAUCUUUUAAGAAAUAUGAUAGAAGUUGUUCUAGAUAUAAAGACUAGCUUUUAAAAUCACGAUAUAGUGGUGAAAAAUAUCCUAAAAAUAAAAGUCGGCAACUUUUAACAACUAAAACUUAAGAAAACUAACAAUCCAUUUAAUAUAGCUUUUUAAUAUUUUAAAAAAAAGAUCUUUGAAAUUUAUACGAUAUAGUUCAAAUUGCCACACCUAGCAACUAAACUUGUGAGAUACUAGCUUUUGCUCUGAGUACUCAUGACUCUGGAGGCACAAGUACUAUCGUAUCAAUCGGGACGAGAGAGAGAGAGAGAGAGAGAGAGAGAGAGAGAGAGAGAGAGAGAGAGAUAUAUAUAUAUAUAUAUAUAUAUAUAUCACGCCGAUCCUACGAAUACCUUCGUGAACAAGCCUGAAAACUUAGCUGCUAGCCGAGGCAAUCUGAACUAGAUCUCAUAAACUUUAUAGAUCUUUUAUUUAAAACGCUAAAAAGCUAUAGUAAACGGAUCAUUAGCUUCACCGAGUUUUAGUUGCCGAUUUUUAUCUUUAGAAUGUUUUAUAUUACUAUACUGUAAUUUUAAAAUCUAGUUUCAAUAACUAAAACAAAAUAUACCNAUGUAAUCCGUUGAUUGGUGAUGAUUUAGGAAUUAUAGUAGGAGUGGGGAUCUUUCACUAGGGGAGAACAUGGUGGUGGUUUGGUGGACCCUUUGCACUCCUUGUGUUUCAUUAAAUGCUGAGUCGCCAAACAACAAGGCUUUACCUAUAUUUGAGAAGAUGCCACUUUGCUAAUUAAUGCAAGAAGGAAAAGUGGGUUAGAGGCUUUAAUUGAUGAUAGAGACUACAUUGGACGUGCGUGGACCUAAUUUAUCACCUCUUCGAAUGCAUGUACAUUAUAUCUUCAACUGCUCUUCUUAAAUCCUUACACACCGUUUGGUUCGGAAUUAAAGGGAGGCCCCCUUUAACCCUAAACAAAAAUUUGGGGGGACUAUGCAUGCCGAAAUAGCCCAUUUGGUCCCUCCCCAGGAAUAGGGAUGGAAUUAAGUUAAUCUCACCUCUAUUUAAUUUUUAAAUAUAAAUAUAAAUUUUUAAUUAUUUAAAUUUUAAAUUUGACAUUUUAUAUUUGUAAUUUUAAAUUUAUAAAUUUGAGAUUUAAAAAUAAUUUUAAAUUUUAAAUUUUAAAUUAUUAUUUUUAAUUAUUUAACUUUUAAAUUUAAAUUCAAAUAUAAUAAUUAGGAUAAUAUCAUUAUUUUCUAUUUAUAACUACUCACUAUCCUUCUCAUUCCAUUUACUCUAACUAAAUAUUAUUUUAUUUAUAUAUAGACUAAACCUAAUUCUAAACCAAACACAAAAUUAUUUUAACCCCAUCUUAAUCCUGAACUUAACUCUAUCCCUGAAAUAACUAGUUUUUACUUAACCCCGAGCCAAAUGAAGCCUUAGUGUCUACAGCAGUUAAUUGAUAUUUGAAUUGCUGAUGUAAGAUCAGGAUCCCAAUUUUUUAUAUUACUGAUGAAUAAAUAGAAUAUUUUUUUUUUUAGAGAGAGAGAGAGAAAGGUAACAUAUUUUUCGUUUCGUUUAAUUUUUAAAAAAAAUAGAAUUAGCUGAAAAUAUAAAUCAAUUAGAAUUCAAAUUUGAGAACUGAUGUACCAACCACUAAGCUAUUUGCCGUCGCAUGAAUAAAUAGGAUACUAAUUGACAGAAGAGUAUGAUUCGAUGUAAACUUAAAUAUAGUGUUAUCGAAGUUGAUAUUGGCAUAGUAGGACUUAUAAUUAUUAUUAUUCGUACAGGAUGGUACGGCAAAAUUUACAGAUAUGAGUUUUUCAUAAUGUUAUGUUUUAGUUACCAUAUGAUUAUUAUAUCUGAAGAGAAAUUAAAUUAUACCGUACGUCUUUCUGUAAUCCAAAAAAAAAAAAGGAAGAUCAGGAAUAUUGAAAGGUGCAUAAACAAGGAGUACUGCUAAUUAAGAAUUUAACUUAGAGCAGUUACAUUAACUCGAUCGUAUAUAAUUAAUCCAAAAAAAAAAAAGAGGAGAGUAUCUAUAUAUAUAUAUAUAUAUAGAUAAAUGAUAAGAUUAAAUCAUUUCAUUCCCAUAACAAAACAUAUACAUAUAUAGAUAUAUAUGUAUAUAUGCAUAUGCGUAUUAUAUACUUUGUCGGUGGGUGCACCACUUCAGAAGUAAUUUCGCGUGGUGUUCAGAUCAAUCCGGGCCUUCUUCUUCGUCGUCGUCUUUAGCACGGGUGUGGGCACGGGCACGGGCACGUGCGAGUCACACCGGGGGCACCGCGGGUUCUCCUUCGAUAUGAGGACGUAAAGGAGACAAUUCGAGCACGCGGCGGCGAUCAGGCCGCCGCCGCCGCCGCCGGACCAAUCGCAGCCGUCCACUCUCUCCGCGGCCUCGGCCUCCGCCGCAGCAGCAGCAGCCCCCAGCCGCUUGAUCGGGGAGUACGUGAUCGACGACGUCGACGAGGGCGAGGGCGAGGGCGAGGGCGAGGCGGAGCGGUCGCAUGACCUCUCGUGAUGCUUGCCUUGAGAUUCGCGCUCGACCCUCUCGAGCGCGGAUUUGACCUUCUCGAUCGUGCACACGCUCGGGAUGCAGGAGGCGGAGGGAGACAGAAAGGGCGCCGUCGUUGUCGGCGGCAUGUUAAGAUCCUAAACAAAAUAUAUACACACACACAAAACAGUGCAAUUAAAUAUAUAUAUAUAUAUUUGAUGUUAAAUCAUAAAUCAUAAGAAUUCACUAUUUUUCCUUUGCUACUUUUGUAGUAUGAUUCACUAUCUCUGAAUUAAAUUCUUCAACCAAAUUAAAUUUUGUGAACAAAAUUUAGCUGUAAUCACAUCAUUUAUAUAUAUAUAUAUAUAUAUAUAUAUAUAUAUGGAGAGAGAGAGAGAGAGAGACCGGUUGCUAUACUAUUGGUAGCACGGAGGUCUCCGUACUAUUAAGUUGUUUUUAAUGAUACGAUUUCAAAGUCAACAAUCGGUUCCGUUAGAAUUGAUCUGCACUAUUAAAAAAUAUUUAAAAUCUAAAUUUUAUAAUUUUUUGACAUUAUUUAUCUAUUAGACGAGUAGUCUAAAAAUGAACGGCUGAAAAUAAAAGUUUUAUAAAGAAUGAUGGUAAAAAAUUUAAAUUUAAGAUUAGAGCUACUGAUAUUAUUCUAAAUGAUUGAUCGUAUAACAUCAAUCAUUAAAAUUGCCGAUUUUGAGACCUUUUGAUCACUAGCCAAAUAAUAUUGAACAAUUAUAAAAUUUAAUUUUCAAAUAAUUUUAAUAGUGUAAAUCAAUUCUAAGAAAACUGAUCGUUGAUUUGGAAUUCGCAUCAUUAAAAAUAAUUGAAUAACACAGGAGGUCUCCUUACAACCAAUAGUAUAGCAACCUAACUCUCUCUUUCUAUAUAUAUAUAGACUUGGUGAAUAUUUUAGUACUAUUUUGGAACCAAAUUAAGCUACUAUUUUACUACUAUUACAAAAAAUAAUUUGGCGAUUCAAACAAAAUAUUUUAAAUUUUUAUGCAAAACAUAAAACUGUGGGAGAAUAUUCUUCAUAAUUUUUUUUCUAAAAAAUUAAUUUUUUAUGAUUUUUUCUAGAACGAUAUAUAUGCCCUCCUUAUAUGAAAUUCGUAAAACUUAUUAAAAAAAAAAAAAAAAAACAAGUGCUUCUUAAAAUUGUUAUUUAUACUUUUUCUAAUUUAAGCAAAUCCUAAAAUAAAAAAAAUUUAAAACAAACCAAUAAGAGAAAGGAAAAAAAGAAAAAAAGAAAAAAAGAGAGAUCUCAAAAACAUAUGUACCAUUAAACCAUUUGUAUUUUCCACUUGCGAGGAGAUUGAUAACUCGAGAUUGAGAGCACACCCCCCGAGAAAGUCGCGCGUGAUAAGAUCCCUCCCUUUCUCUUCCUCUUCCUCCCUGUACAACAUUUGCGCCACGGAACUCACUUCCGUCGCCAUUAAUCCACUUCCGUAAACCCCCAGAAUCCCACUUACAGGGAAAUUGUUAGUAGUAGUAGUAGUAGUAGUAGAAGUAGAAGAGGAGAGAGAGAGAUAGAGUUGAGAUAUAAAUACAAAAGAGAACUUGGGAUGAGUUGGGUGGUGGAGAGCAUUUAGUUGAGUAAAAUGCAUGGGUGCCCCCUGUACUAUCCCAACGUUUCCAUUUGGUUCCUACACUUUUUUUUGUGAUCAUUUAAGUCCUUAAUAGAUCUACCACUUAUUUUUUUAAUUAAACGAUCAUUUUUAUUUUACCAUCAUAAUUUAUUUCUCUCUCUAAUGUAAGUGAUUAUUUUUUUUUAUUAAACCACCAUUUAACGUCGUAUUUGUCUCAACUUAUUUUCUGUCUAGCUCUUACUCGUACGUCGUGAAAUAGUUUUUGGAUAUUAAGAAUUGGUACAGAUAGAGUAUUUGUUAGAUUAAGCUGUGUGAAUAUUAAUUAAGUAGAUUUUUUAUAUUAUUUUUUGUAUGUGUUUUGAGUAACUACAAUCCGCAUGGUAUAAAGUUGGGUGUUUUAAUUUUCCACACUUGGCAAGCAUAGCCUAGCUUAAUUUAUACAUGUAUAUGUAAAUUAGCAAGAGAAUUAAAUACCAUUUUGUAAUACAUGUAAAAGUUAGAAACUAAAAAUAGUUUUAAAAAACAUAUAUAUAUAUAUAUAUAUAUGGACCAAAGAGCUAUAUGAAGGUAGCAGUGGAACCAUCAUACAUUUGACCCACAUCUAUUAAAAUGCAGUAAAGAUCCAAUAGAAUGCGACAAAGAGCAAUUAAUGGUGGGAUAUAAAUUGGGUGUUUCCAUUGAAGUGAAUUGGAAUUGGUUAGAGAGAGAAAGAGAAAGGGGGGAGGGGGGGAGAAAAAGGCCAAAGAGAACAUUUAAUGCUAAUGGAGAAGAAGAUGAUGAGGGGUUUGAGUCACAUAUUUAACCCUUCAGCUGUACAAGGCUUAUACUGUUUGCGCAUUAAUUGUUUAUCAAUUUAAAUAGUGAAUGGAAUGGUUAUUGGGUUGUUUCCUUGUGUAGAUUUUGUGGUCCCAUGCGUGCAAGUAUCAUCUUUGGGAUCUGUAAAAAUUGUAACUAUCAUAUGUAGUGUUUUUAUUCGUUUAUGGCGACAACGUAAGUGUGACAAUAUGAUAAUGAUACUAACAAAGAUUUUUUUUUAUUUUUUUGAAUCGUGUACGCAUGAAAUACAAUGAAUCUGAUCGAUCGAUCAAAUUUAAUCAAUAAAUUGUGACUAGGCGUGCUUUGUCUCCUAAUAAGUGAUAGAUAUAUAAUUGCUGUUUUAGUUAACAUCGCCAAUUUUAUCAAUACUGUUUUUAUUUUUCUUUUAUAUGUGAAUUUGUACUAAUAAAAUAUAUUUUGCUAGAAAUAUAACAAAUUUAAGCGGAUAUUUAUACAUUUCAAAUCAUACAACACCUCAUUAGCUAGGGAAAUAAUUUAAUAACUACUCACAUAAAUUAUACCGAUAGAUCAAUUGCACGUAUCUAUAUCGUAUGAUUUGUGUAAAUUUCUGUAUUAGGCAUAUUCUAACGGUCCUUGGUCUAUAAGAUAAUUAAUUGCGCAUGUAUAUAUAUUGUUCAUGGGUAUGAUUAAUUGUUAGCUACUUAUUAAUAACUUUCUAUUUUUAAGAAAAAUACUAGUAAGUAUUCAAUGUCUCAGCUCAAAUUUUGCUACCUAAGAAGCAAUAAAUAAAUAAAUAAAUAAUAAAUAAAGUUGAAAAGUUUGUGUAAUCUACCAUGUGGAUAAGAAACGUGCUUGCUAUGAACAUCAAAUUAAUAACAAUUAAUAAAGUUUGUUGAGUUCCAUGCGAAAAAAAUAAAUUCAUCAACAAACCAUUAAUUAAAAAGUGGACCCAUUAAAGCAAAGAGUAAUUGUAACGCAAUAAUUUCCCAACUCCAAAAAAUUAAAUAUAAAGUGGGCCAAUUUCAGCUCGCCGACUUUAGUAGACAUUAAUGCCGACUCUCUUUGUGGUGGUGAGACUACGCGGUUAAUUAAUUAAUAAGAACUCGACAAUUUUAAAUUUGACCACCAUUUAUGAGAUUUUGGACUUUAGUUUUUCUUGUGAGUGACGUCGCAUAUAAAAGAAAAAAUCUUACAAUUGAAACGUAUAUAUCAUGUACAACACGCAUUGUAAUUAGCUAGUUUAGGAUACAUAUUGCGUGUAAUUUUGUGCGAAAAUUUUUGAUGUACGGAAUUGAUCUGAUCACUCAUUAUCAAUGAGUAUGUAGUCCAAUGUUGACAAUGUGUAUGUAGCACGAUCACCUUCGUCCGCAGAAAAUUCCUGCACAGGCCCGAAAAAUUGGACUCCCGAGCCAAUUGGUAUAUAUAUGUACUUUACGAUCACUUUUUAAAUACUUUUUUGUUUAAUGUACUUUUUAGAAUGCGUUAAUAUGUAAUAUAGGUCUUUUGCAAUUCUUACAAGUAUACAUAUUGUAAAAUUUAGAAGAACUUGCUAGUUUAAUGAUAAAUAAAUUGUAAUAAUAGAUGUUCAAACGAGUAAAUGCUACAGCACACAAUUGACACAUAUAUUAAGACAUGCAUUGCAUUCAACAUUAAGAAGUAAGUUUGUAAUUACACUUGUGAUGUAACUGUAUAUGUUUCUAUAUUCAUAUUACGUGUCCAAUAUUUUUCGAUUCUGGCAUAGUUGGUUUUAAAUUGUAUUAUAAGCGAAUUUGCAAAAUCAAAAAAUCUUUAGCCUUCUUAGUUUUCUUAUGACUGAUUUUUGCUAAAUUUGUUUGAUUUCGAAAAUUGACUGAUACGUACGUACGAUGAAAUUAGUCAUUAUAUUAUAUUUGACUAAUGAAUUGCUAAUCAAACAUGUGGCUCGUUUAAAAUGUUUACACGAACAUAAUUUCCUCUCAUUCAACCUACAACCAAAUUAAGUGGAUAAUAAUAAAAUUGGUGCCAUAUGUAUAUUCAAAUUGUAGCAUAUUUAUAUAACCUGCAGGGUUGCAGAGAACUCAUUCCCAACAACCAUCCUUAAAUAUAACACUAUAACUUUUUAUUGCUAUAUCUCGCGGUCAUGCAUUUAUGACAUAAAAUUAUUGAGCAAAUUAAAGACAAGCACCUCAUUUACAACUUAUGGUUGGUGAAUGAUCAUAUUAUUGAUGAAUGUAGAGAGAGAGAAAGAGAGAGAGAGAGAGAGAGAGAGAAGUAUCAUGAAUUUGUUAUCUCGGCACAUACUAAUAGAGUAAUAUGUACUAUGUACGGAAUGAUAUGAGAAAAUGAUAUACUUUCCGAUUUUGACAAGCAAAAUACAUGUUUGCUUUUUGAGAAAAAGAUGAAAAAGAGGAUCGCGAGGCGAAAUUUUACAAACAAUAUUGUUAUACUCAUGCAUGAACUUUUUUAUAAUCACACGGACAUAUAGAUCUUUAACGAUUCCAGUCAUCUACUUUUGUACAAAUAUGUAAAUGGCGAUUUUUUGAGAAAUUCUUUGUUCCACCUUGUGGGGUUGCAGUUGUGCGUGAAUGUACAUACUAAUUAUUAAUGUUCAAGUUAGAUAUGAGAAUUGGUGCACCUUUUAUAAAGUAGGUACUACUACCUGAUAUAAAUGCUCUAAGUGAAGCUAUACAAUGUUAAUUGUUGCUUAAUGCUUAUUAUAUAUGUAUAUAUAUAUAUAUAUACUUCGCUUUGGGCGAAGGAAAUUCUGAAGUACAACAUCACAUGCGUCAUCCGCACGUCAAUACUUUGAACCAAUCAAAAUCUCGCUCUUACGAAAUCGAUUUAUAUUUUCAGAGUUAAUUUUGUUAUUCACAAAACAUACAUAAAUAAUAUAUGCAGUAUACCUCGUCACAUUUCAAACUGGCAUGGAUAGUUAUGCUCUUUUCUUUAAACAACAAAAAUUAAGUAGCUCUAUGAAUUCAUUUAUUUAUAUAUAUAAAUAUAUAUAUAUGUAUAUUUGUGGAUCAAAAUGUUAGUUAACAGAGAUCCCCGUAGCCAUUUAUCGAUCCCAGAACCCAAAUGAUAUAUAUAAAAAAGGUUUCAUUAUUAGCAAUUUACAUAUAAUAAUCAAGCGGUAGAAACACACAAACGCCACUAUCAUGAGGUGAAUGAUUUUGCAUUAAUAAUAAUAGGACCCAGCAAAUAACUCCAAACUCGUACCCAUAUAAUGAAUAGGUAGGCUACGAGCUCCAUUAAUUGAUCCAGAGAGAGAAACGUGAAGGGUCGGGGCCACAAUGAGACGAGUGGAGACAACGUAUGUCUUAAGCCGGAGUUGUUAGGAUGUUGAGACGACGUGGAGAGAGACUGACGCAAUUUGGGAAAUUAAUGCGCCUAGUGGGCGUUGAAAACGCACGGGUAACAGAAGAUACAAAGGAAACAAAUCAAAUUAUUAUUAGAGUCCACGUUUCACAGCGAACCAACGAGAGAGCCCGAUACAGUAAAUUGGGGCAUUUAUGAUAUGAUAGGGGUUUGUAGCGUUGUCUUAGUGGGUCAACCGUUGGAAAAAGAUGACCGGAAAAAAUAGAGAAAUAUUAAUAAAUACUAAUAGGUUUAAUCUUAUAAAUUUAAACUUUUAAAUUAGAUAUAUUUCAGUAGAUAAGAUUAGUAACGUUAGAUACGCCAAGAUCUUACAUCGGACCCGCUUUAUGGUGACAGCAUAACGGUUCCAAUAAUUAAUUAUAACAGGGGAAAAAGCAUGGGAGGACCAACAAUUGAUUACAACAUAUCCCCUGUAUUUUCUACAAGGCAAUAAUCAAAAUGGACAUUCUUAUAACAAAUUCGUGAUCAACUGUGCUCAAUGAUGAUCCUAGAAAAAACCCAUUUCCGGGAACUUUAACUCCGUUACCUGUACUUUCCAGUUUCAGAUACUUUAUCCGCGACCAAACACUCAAAAUGAUGCCCAAUCAAACAAAAAACAGAAACCACACAACAAUACAACCACACAACGGUACAAAUCACGUAAUUUUUAGUUCCAAAGGUGCAAUUCAAUAAGCUCUAUCUCAUCCAAGAGAGAGCAAUUUUUAAUAGCAAUUACAUCGAUAUAUGCAAGCAGCAUAACCAAGUAAUAGAUAGGGGUGGAAACGAGCCGAGCUCGAGCGAGCUUAUGUCAGCUCAAAUUCGGCUUGAAAUUAAUUUCAAGUCUAAAUCUAGGCUCAAGCUCGGCUUGAAAUUAAUUCGAGCCGAGCUCAAGCUCUAACGAGGCGAUGGUCGAUUGUUAAUUCUCGACUUCUGAUCAUCAUGUUUAAUUUUAUGAGACAUUACUGAAAUCUGACUGCAAACAUGUUCAAUGUUGCAAAUACAACAUAAUUAUAAUAAAUGUGAGUUAGAGGUGCUUCUUUGACUAUGAGAUGAGGGUCUGUGAGAGAGAUGAGACAGGAGGAGAGGGAGGAGAGAGAGAAGGAAAAAAUAGGAUUGCAAAUUGUUGUUAUCAUGUUUUGAGUUAUGUGCAUCGUGAAAGUUUAAAGAGAGUGUCCUUGUUAUGUAUUCUGAUUGGGCUCUAAUUGCACUUUGUAUUAUUGGUUUUUUAUUGGGCCAACUAAUAAGACCAUUAUUAAAUCCUAUAUAUAUUAAUAAUUAUAUAUUAUAGUUAAUGAGAGAGAGAGGAGAAGAGAGAGGAGGACAGAGAGUCCGGCGGCCUACUUAAACUUUUCUGAGGAUUGGCCCUUUUAGGAUGAAAUUGUCGUGAUUGUGGAGUCCGCCCCGAUCGCCCGAAUGGGUGGUAAGUGGGACAACAAAUAUAAAAAUAUAACCCGCCCCGAUCGCCCCGAUCCGCAGAGUAAAUGAGAGGGGAGCGUGGGAGAAUUUUUCUUCCUUCAUCCGCCUCGAUCCGUCCAAAUCGGUAUCGCCCGAUCCGCCCGAAUGGAUAUAAAGUGGGAGCCAAAAAUAAUAUGAAAGUAACCCGCCUCCGACUCCGCCCACGCGCCUGCCCUGUAGAAAUGGACGGAGGUGGGGACUCUCCGCCCCGAUCGCCCCGUUUGUCCCUAGCUCCUUUAUAUCAUAAGUUUACUUAAUUUAUUCCAUUAAUCUAUUUUGUCCAUUAGUCAUACUAUUUAACCAAUCCCCUACCUGGGAGCCCUAUAUUGUUAGGGGACACAUCUCCUACCACACUCCAUCAUCAGAGGUUAAAAUUUGGUCCAGGGUUUACUAUAAGGUUAGUAGUCCCAGCCUAUAUUAAUAUACUUAUUUAUUAUUCACUUUUCGGCUUUUCGACUAUUCGACGCGGACCGAGUAAUACUCAAGCUCAGUUUGACUAUGAAUUUCGAGCUUUUAUUUUGUUCAGUUUCGGCUCAUUUAAUUUGAGUGAGCGAGCGACACAUAUCGAGCGAACAGAUCGAAGCGAGCCCGGCUUCGCUUGUGCAGCUGUAUAGUAUUAGUUGCCGAUUGACGAAAGAUGUUGACACCACCAGAGUGAGAUGGCACGCUCCUUCGAAAAUUUUACAUUUAAUGCGCACGGUCUCUGAGAACAUCGAGGUCCAGCUCCGACGGAUCAGUCGCCUGAAUCUCGUAGUGAAUACCAUCUAGUUCUCGCCUGAAUCGGUCCUUGGAAGUAGCAUAAAGCAUCUUAGCUCGGAUGCGGGACACGGAAGGAGACCUGAUGAGGAAUAAAAGAAGCCUAAGCAUAAACGUGAGCAAGAUGUAUUGAAAGAAAAGUGUUGAAAGAACCUGUGGAUAAAUUGGCCGAGAUUAUGAAUUCCAAGGGACUUAAUAUUUAAAAAGACCAAGGUUAUCACCCUGAUGAAGGACAAUAUGGCAAUGCUUUUGGGAUCAAACGAUUUACUUUGAGAAGUGAAAUAGGAUAAUUCCACAGAGAAAACCCAGUCCGCACCAAAUCUUGCUUCAUUUCUCUGUUCAAAUUUUCCAAGAUUAAGGAUAGAAUGCUACCACAUCUCCAGUUGUAGUUAGGAGAGCCCCUUAUAAAGUCAAACCCCCUUCAAUUACCAUCUGGCCAGUUGUGUUUCAUAAUAAAGGAUUCCAAUGGAAUAAAUACUUUCACAAACAAACCCUCAAAAAAGAAAGGAAGAUGUAAAUAAUGAAUUUGACAGCUAUGGAUGAACAUCGAUAAAUAGAGAUAUACAAUCGGUCUGGCUAAAAUAAUCAAUAAAUAAUGCUGGAUCGAAUCAUGUGAUUAGGGGGAAAAAAAAAUCUGUUUCUUUUUCCUAAAAUUCUCUUAUAUGAGGUAUUUCACCACAACCAGAAUCAUUUGCAUUACUCUUCACAAAUUCAGAAACUUCAGCAGACAAAACAAUAGCAAGUCAGGCAACUGCAGAGUAUCCAGGAAAAACAUUCAAUAUAGAUUAUGCAGAUGGCAAAACAAAUGGCUUGAAAAAUGAAACUCACCAAGCAACAAAAAAAAUCUUGCUUUUCUGGCAGUUCUCCUCAGUAACAAAGUCGAAAUCAUAGAUUGCAUAUCGGCAAUCAUUUUCAGGGAGAGAAGCAAUGAAAUCAUCAUAGCUCUCAGUUGCGCCUCCAGUUUUCUCCACUACAACCGCUUUCUGCUUUUCAUCGAUCUUGAAGAUUACAUAGCGGUGAGUCUUCUUCCUCUGAAGCUCUAAGAAUGUCUCCUUACAAUCCCCAGCAACGCCCAUCCCAGAUGAUGCAUUUGACUGUAAGAACAAGUGCAUUGUUAGAAAUCUAAAGACUAGUGUAGAAUGACUAAACAGAUAAGUAAAUUAAAUAACAAGAAUCAGUUGUCUGUUGCAUAAUACAGCUAGAUUUUGACAAGAUUCCACAUAGACUCAAAAUCUACUAUAUAUGAGGCCAGAUUCGGUUGAUAGAACAUCACAUAUUCAUUGCUAGAAGAGGCCAAAAUAUGAGGCAAGAUUAUCUUCUUCAAUUAUCAAUAGAACAGUUUGACGGUUGCAGCUUGCGAAGUAUAGCAAAAGGAUCCAUUCACCUAAAAAUAAUGCACAGCUUUAAAGCAAAACUAUUUGUGAAUGAAUGACCAAAUCUAAGUUCCACCUGAGCCACCUCAAUUGAAAACAUGUAUAGUUCUUGACAUGUGUACAAUGAUUUAAUGGGAAAGGGCCAGUAUCCUUACAACUUGUGAAUAAUGUACAAAGAGAACCUACUUCCACUUCCUUAUAUUAGUAUGAUGAAUAAAUAUCUGAGUCAAGAGCAUCUAAUAAGUUCAAAAGAUAUGCACUGCCAACAAGAGAUCAACCAGCAAACCUACAAUACCAAAAGUUGUGAUAAACAGAUCCGUCCUCCUAAUCCAUGCUACAAUUUUGUAUAUGAAGAAAGACCCACACCUCGAUGCCAUCUAUCUUUAACUCCCAACAAAAAGCUUAGCCCAUUUUAGCAUUUCAGGAGAGAACUAGUCAGUGGAAAUUUAAAAGUUCCAGAUGUUUUUCACACGCAAUUGGCUUUUCCAGCCAAAGAGGCAUGUGAAACGAACUACAAAGAUAACCAACAUCAUCUUCUUCUGUCCGGCAUUCGUUGUCCUUCCCACUAGCAGUAAAGUUUGCAGCAUCUUUAUGACCCAGCCUUUCGACAGGUUCCUAAAUUUCCCCAACUCUUCCUUUUAGUUGUGCAAUGUCUCCAAAGAGAGCGCUAACAUUUAUAGCUAGGACCAGCAACAAAACAUAACUAAAUUCCUUGGUAUAUUAAAUUAUGAGCACACACCAAACUUCCACCUAAUCAGAUUAAGUCGACCUAACACUCUUGAAAGUGCGGCCACCGAGAACUCGAUAAUCACACUCAAAUCCCAUUGACUUGCGUAUACAACAUUAUCCAAAAACAUUCAUGAGAGUAUAUAAAUAAAAACAUCAUUGUACAGACCAUCAAAUAAACCAUGCAGAUUUGGUCCUUUUGGACCAUGCCAUUGUUCGUUUAGAAUUAAAAAACCAAAAAAAUAUUGACCACUUCAGUAUUAACUGAUAAUCUAUAAUCUAUCUUCUAAGCUAUUUGAAAGGGAUUAACAAGGCAUUAUAUAUUUCAUAAUAAACGCCUAAAGGAUAAGUUACAUUGAACAGUUAUAGGCCCAAAAAAUACCUACUCAAACCAGAUCGAAACAAACUCGAUCACUCGAACCCUAAUCCACCGAACAACAACACCAUGAGACUACAAAUUCCCACAAUAUAGCGACGUCGAUCAUAACAGUUUCUGCUGAUCUCAGGUUAACAUUAACCAAUCCACAUAAUCCACAGAGCAAGCCAUUUCUCGAUCAACAUCACGCUAACAAAUUUCCUACUCCAAGCACAAAGAUCCCAAAAUUGACGUCGCUAACCAAAAAUCAAAAGUAAAAAAGUGAGAAAAAUGGAGAAAAAGCUUACACAAGAUCGGAGAAAAGCCAUGUGAUCUACGAGAUCGGGGGUGGAAACGAAGCCCUAGAGGUGAAAAGAGCGAGAGGGUUUCUAAGGACGACGAGUGGAGGAGAGCGCGAGCUCACAGCGAAUCCUUUAUGCUUAGGCGAAGGAAAAGAGAGGAGGAGAAAAAAGCGAAGAGGACGAAGAUGGGGCACACCGUAGUGUACGAUGCUUCGAAGCUACGCGAGAAAAGAAAGAAAAAAAAAAAAAAAAAAAAAAAAAAAAAAAAAAAAAAGGUGAAAUUUGAAUGAAAAUUUUUUAAUUAGUAGGUUGAUCGAAUGACUCAUCAAAUUAUCUUAAUAAAAUCUAGUUAAGAAACUCAUCAACGAAGUUCAUCAAAGGACACAAAUUCAAAAAAAAAUAUAUUAUUAGUAAAAAAUUGAGACAAAAAAUACUUAAAAAGUUUGCUACUGUAUGAGCGUCUGAUCCUGAUGAAACCAAAGGUUAGCUGUUAAUGGGCCUCGACUGGGCCGGAGCAUAUUGGGCCCAAUGCUGCAGUUGUCAUUGAUCAAGAAGGAAAUCCAAAAGGAACUCGAGUUUUUGGUGCGAUCGCUCGAGAAUUGAGCCGGCCCAGUAAUAAAAUGGGCCUACCAAUAUGGAAGUUCAAUUUUUUUUUAAAAAACCCACAGAAUAUUUCUAUGAAUAAAAAGCCCAAAUGCCUCUACUUUCUCUUUUUUCUUUUCCAAUUCUUUACGGUUUCUGGAAAUUCUCCCCACAAUCAAUCCAAACUGCUGAAUUCGAAAAAAAUAAUAAAAAAUAAUAAUAAAAAUAAUGAAAAAAAGGCAAUGGCGACUUUCACGCCAUCUUGAAAAAAAAAAUAUAGAAAUGAUUUUACAGACAUUUGGAUAAUUUGACUUUUAUACAUCCGAUUGAAAAUUACUGAUUACAUAAUCUCUUUUUUACACUCUUUGAGGAUGAUGAGUCGCUGAUCUCACGAAGGUUCAUUUUUUCUUCCCCUAAAAGUAAACUUUAUGGCUUGCAAUUUGAUUAAAAUUGCGACGAACUAGCAUAUAUUCUUAAUAAGUUCAAUAUUUGAUAAAUACUGCAAAUUUUGAUAAUAUAAUUCAGCUUUUAAUCAUGUUUGAUUAAAUUGUUCGCGACCCUUUUCAAGGCAAAAGUUUUUUUUUUUUUUUUGAUGAAAAAGUUAUACAAAUAUUUUCUUCAUUAUUUAGAGGCAAAAAGGAAUGGUCAAAAGAGAAAGAGAGUAAAGCUAUGUGCAACAACAUUGAAUGAAUUGUGAAUCCCUUGAGAGUGAUUUAUAACUACACACAAUCGUGCAAUUAAAUGUCUAAAAAAAGAUAAGAAAACAGAUUGGGUGUGUUGUUUUGGACGCGUCCGUUGGCGUCUCUAACUAGGAGUUAUUAUCUUCAAUUAAUAUGAAAAAGACUUAGAAAUAAUAAAAAAAAAAACCUACAUUUAAAAUGUAUGCACUGAGGAACUUUUUGUGUGAGUGGUAGUUGAGUUUGGCCAACAAUACAGGAACGGAGUCAUUGUGAGGCUCACAGUAGUCAUACCUCCCUCCUCAACUUUUAAAAGUUAUGUAUAAAAUUUUAUAAUAAAAAUUAAAAUUUUAUAAAUUUUAGUUCGGAGGGGUUUUCUUUUAAUAAAACUUAUGUCUCAAAUUUUUUUCUAAACUUCUAAUUCUUUUUCUUUAACUCUUAUAAUUUUGCGUCUCCUUUAGCAUAUUGUCGCUACCGUGGCCUUAGCAAUAGAUGACCAGUAAAUCUAACAAACUUUCUUUCUUACUAUCCAAAGUCGGAUUUUUUUCUACAAAAUCUAAAUCUUGGCCCCUCUGAAUCUUAAUUCCUGCAACAAUGGCUUUUAAGUCAUAUCCAUGCAAUUGAAUUUACACUUAACACGCUUAACCCACUUUUGAGUCAUUUUCGAAAGUACAAGUUAUUAUAUGCCUUAAAAGCUUCUAUAAAGCACGACAGUCGAAAAUGAUGCGUCUGAAUUUGCAAUUUGAUUGUGAUAAAUAAGUAUUUUCUUUUCAUAUAAGUAAUCGAAUUUAUCAAGUUGAGAACUUGAAUUCAACUUACUCGUUGGUCAAUAUUCGUGAUCAGCUCCAUGUGUCGUAUGCUUAGCAAACAACAGAUCUGGGCUCGAAUUAAACUAUUAAUUAGACUAUUAGACAGCUCACAAGUUGCAAAUAAACAAAACUUGCUUUCACACCAAAGCAUGUGACCACAAAAAACUAGUACAAUAUGUGUCCCCAUUCUGCUUCUCUUUUCAGUGGGAACUUCUGUUAACAUCGUGAAAUAUUAUUGUCAUAUAUUUGCUAGAUACACCGACAUCCAUUGUAUGCAAUUUUUUUAAUUAAUUCAUGCACAAAGCUUAAAAUAUUGCAUUAUUUUGUCUAUGUAUAAUAUAAUCCUUCAAGACGAAUAGUUUGAUUAAAUUUAUUUAUCUUGCAUAAAAAUGAAAAAGUUAAUUCAUUCAAAGUAACUGAACUAUUUCACUAUCUCAUAUAACUCAAAAAAUUAUAUGUAUAAUAUUUCUUUUGGAACUUAGAACUGUUUUUUUGGUUCACUUCUAUUUGGUGGGACAGCUUAUAACCAGGAAACUUAGAACUGUUUUUUCGGUUCACUUCUAUUUGGUGGGUCAGCAAUAAUUCGACCCUAUUUUUAGCAGUCCGUCGGCUCAAGAUACUGUUAUCUUCGUACAAAGAUCUGCUUUGAGCGUUUUUUUUUUCUUUUUUUUUUUUUUUUUUACCUCUGCUGAUAUUGUUUUUUCUCGAGGUCUUCGUUGCCUCACCUUUGUAGUCAAAUUUAUCCAUUCAAUAAAUAAAACAGGUAGCAUACUACCGAUUCUCAAGAAAAAAAAAAAAAAAAAAAGCUUACAACCAGGAAAAUGAAAAAGCCUUGUCCCCCGCAUUAUUUCCCAAACAUGUCUCUGUACGGUACAACGAGCACAACACGUGCUACGAUUCGAUCCCAUUUCCCCGUAGUCCGAGCCCGAACCCAACCCCAGUCAACCAGUCAAACCUGGUUCAAUCGCAUCACCCCGAGGCUCACCGGAUCACGCGAGAUCAGAGCCGUCCAUUCGAUCAAUCUCACAAUAAAUUUCGACAAGCGGCGGAGCACGGAAAAGAUCUCCAACACCUUUCUAUUCACGCUUCAGAUCAUGCCCCAUUUAUUGUCCCUUUUUUAUUCCGUUGAUUAAUAUGAAAUUUUCCGUUGAUUAAUAUGAAAUUUUAAAUAUACUGAUUUUGGAUAUACAUUUUAUGAACAAAACGUAAAUAACAAACAUUAUUUUUUUACUAUUAAUAGUAUUUUACUUUUUAUAUAUAUUAUUUUAUAAACUGAAUUUUUUACUCUGCACUACAUACAUGUAAGAAUAUUUGGUAAAGAAGUAUAUAAGUAAUUAUUGGCUAUUCUUGUACAAGUGUUGAUAUUAUUCGGAUACAUAUUUAGGUAAAAAGACGUAAGCGUCAUCACUUAUAUUCAAAAGUUUUAAGUGUUAAUUAGAAUGCUAAAUUAUGCUUUUUGUCAUCAAAUUUUCGAAUGAAAGAUAUUUCGCCUUCAAUUUGUAAUUUUUUAUAAUUUUUAGCUAGAAUUUUUAUUUUAUUACUAUAAUUAAGUUCAGCUGUUCAACUUAUUUGCUUAAAGAGAUAUUGACGAAUAUUUUAAAUUAAUUUUAACAAAAAUUUACAAUAUAGAAGCGUCAAUAAAGCCAUACAGGUACCAUAGCUAGUAUAGUAAGUUAGUAAUCUUAUUCCACAUUAGUAAUAAAUUAUAUAAUUUAUUGCUAAUGAGUUUAUAUGAUUUGAUCAGAAUAAUCUAAAAAAAUUAAGCUAAAAAAUUAUAGUAAAUUAAAAUUUAAGUAAAAAAACGUCUGAACAAUUAUAGAAAAACUGUAAUGUAGCCGAAUUGGAAAUUUGGAAGGUAUACAUGAAAAUACUGGGGCCCACAUGAAGUACACGGAAGUAAUGAAACCUCCCACGUUGAACACAAACGAAGAACACGAAGCCCCCUCUCCCCUUCCCCACUCUCUUUAACUUGUCCCCGAUCAGAGCCCGAGUCGCCGCGUUUGCUCGUCGUCGUCCAUGAUCUCCGGCCCGGUCCGAUGCCGAGCCCGCCGUGGAAGAAGACCCGGCCCGGCCCUGGACCCGGUCUAUCCCGGUUCGUCUCCGGCCUCCGGUCCGACCGGGCCGGCUCGCUCGUCGUCCAAACCGGGUUCCCCACCUCCCUCGCCGACCUCGUCGUCAAGAACCACUCCCGCCUCAAGAAACCCUCGCGCUCCAAGAAGAAGGCCCCUAGGGUUUUGGACGCCGACCCCGCCCCCGCCCCCGCCCCCACCGUCGGAUCCUCGUCGGACGCUGCGGACCCUCGCUCUACAUCACCACCUUCCUCCGAGGAGGCCUCCGACGCGAUCUUACGGGAAGCGGAAGCAAACCCUAGAAUCCCCCAAUCCGAUCGAGGUACGCUGCGAAUCGAGCUUGUUGUGCUCGCGACGCUCGUGGUUUUGAUCCUUUUGGCGAUUGGUAGGAAGAAGCUCGUGGUGGGGAUCACGCUCUCGGCCUUCGCCCUGUGCUUGUUCGAUGCAGCAAAGCUCCGCAUCGUUCGGUUCCUGAGGCCGUGUCCCCAGGCGCGCCGGAGCUUGAAUUCGAUGAUCGGAGGGCUCAGUUUGGAGGGGAGAGGAUGGGUUUCGCCGAUCAGGGAAGCCGCGAUUGACGCCCGAUCGGAUUCGAUGGGUUCGUCAGAGAGCGGUUUGGAUUCGAUGGGAUCGGAGAAAAGCUCGGUAGAUUCUGUGCCUCCAGAUGAGAAAACAGAGCUUUCGAUGGAAAGGAUGGAUAUUGUUGGGGUUGAUUCGAGUACUUCGAAGGCGAAGAAGCUUCUGAAGAAGUUUGUGUCGAAGAAGUUUCGUAAGUAUAGGAAAAGUAAGAAUGAAAAGGAGACACCUUUGGAUCCAAGUGGGAGUAGUGAAUUGGAUUCCAUUAGGAAAAGUAAUCAGGAGAAAGAGGCAAUCAUGGAAAAGGAAGAAGUCGUGGGAAAUGGCGACGACGGUUCGCUAUGCUUUGACUCCUCAGGUGAUCUCACUCGGUUAGACGCAGAGGAAAAGAAAGUGGAAUCGGAUAUAGAAGAUCCACACGAAUCUGGAACCGAAGCCAGAGUAUCUCAGCUCCUAGUUUUCUUCAUUUUAGUUCUUUUAGGCCUUGUCGGAGGGAAGGUUGCCGCACUUGUUCUUACCAUGUUUAGUAUCUUGUCUAUAAGAUCAAUUGAAGCAUUGUGGAAUAAAUGGAAUUUAUGGCGGACUGAUUCAGUUUUUCAAUGUACCGCAGAUUAGAGCGAGUUUUUCGGCUCUUGUUAAGUGAUUGAGGCCUUUUUCCCUUGGCUCAUCAAUUCUCAUGUCUCGUUAAUUCGGGCGGUGAUUCGAACCUUGAAUAUGUAACAGGUAGUGUAAAGGAAGGUGAAAGAAAACUUACACAUGUUUUCUUGUUCUUUUGUUUGUAUCUUCUUUCCAAUUGUAGUUAAAAUUGCCAUAUUAUAAUCCGCUUAAUCUGUUUGUUAGUAUAUCCUGUUGAUUAGUUCUAUCCAUAGACCAGUUGUGCUGGAGUUAUAACCUUAUAAGCUUCCCAGUGUAGGCUAGAAAAUAUUCUCAUUUUCCCCUUUAUUUGUGGUUAAGUUCAUGUUUUAUAUUUCAUCUAUUAUGGAUGUCUCCUAUUUAGAACUUACACCCUUUUCAGUGGAAAUUCCUAUCUGUGAUUGAAUUUCCAAUUUUUGAAUGAAUAAACCUUCAUUUCUUAAGAAGAUCUACUAUCUAAAUUUGAGUCUGACCACCCAUCACUUUUGAGUACUUACUUUUUUCGAUAGUCCUUUUUAAUUCCAACUAUAGACCUAUUUGUCACUGUCCCUGUGUGUUUUUCGCUGGAUUUUCCCACACUGAUAACAUCAAAAUUUCUAGUUUGUUCAGAAAUUUUAACAGAAAGUAUGUAUUUUGCUUAUUUGCAGGCGACCCCAUAAGAUGGAGGUAAAUCUUAAUGUAAUUCCAAUACAUUCUCAGUUUUUGAUUUAGACUCUUGAUUAAGCCAUCUUAAUGUAAAGUGAUUUGUUUGUUAAUCUUUAUCCUAUGACAUCUUAAUCUUUGAACUGCACAAAUUUAAACAAUCUACACCACCGCUUAAAGCCCUAUAUAUAUAUAUAUAUAUAUAUAGAGAGAGAGAGAGAGAGAGAGAGAGAGUUGAGCUGGAAUGCUAUCAGUAGCAAAUGGACUCCGUUGCCACCCAUUUGUUUUCGAUGAUGGAGCCCUCAAAUCGACGAUCGGCACCGUUGAACAUGAUCUAUAUCACUUGAAGUAUCUAGAAAUUAAAUUUCAAAUAUUUUCAAUAUCAUUGACCUAAUGAUCAAAGGGUUUCAAAAUUUGUAAUUUUAAUGAUCGAUGUAAGGUGUUUUCUCGUUUAACGGUGUAAAGCUAUCCAAAUCAAUUGAAUUUUGGUUAGAAAAUUCUUUAAACUAUUUAGAACAAGAUCUACACUCUCGAUCUUGAUUACAAAAUUCCUAUCAUCACUUUUUAGAGGAUAUUUAUUUUCAGCCGUUCAUUUUUACGCCUACUUGAUGAACGAGAGAACAAUAUUGGAAAAAUAUGAAAUUUGAUUUCUAGAUACUUCAAGUGAUAUAGAUCAUUUUCAACGAUACUGAUCGUCGAUUUAGAGGCUCCAUCAUCGAAAACAAAUGAGUGGCAACGGAGCUCGUUUGCUACCGAUAGUAUUCCAGCUCAACUAUAUAUAUAUAUAUAUAAUUGUGCUGGUAUGCUUAUGGAAGCACGGAGGCCUCCGUGCUUCCAAGUCGUUUUCGAUGUUCGGACUUUCGAAUCGACGAUCGGCUCCGUUAGAGUUGAUCUAGAGUAUUUGAAGUACCUAGAAAAUAAAUUUUGCGAUUUUUCGAUAUCAUUUGCCUAGUGAUCGAAGGGGCUCAAAAUCAAUAAUUUUAACGACCGUGGUGAGCCGGUUGCAAGUUUAACGGUGUAGAAAUAUCCAAAUCACAUGAAAUUUUGAUAGAAAAUUUUUUAUACCAUAUAAAACAAGAUCAAUAACUUUGAUCUAAAAUUUUAAUGUCAUAUCAUCAUAUUUUGUAAGAUUUUUAUUUUCAGCCGUUGAUUUUGAGCCACUUCGAUCACUAGGCAAAUGAUAUCGAAAAAUCGCAAAAUUUAUUUUCUAGAUACUUCAAAUACUCUAGAUCAAGUCUAACGGAGCCGAUCGUCGAUUCGAAAGUCCGAACAUCGAAAACAAAGUGGAAGCACGGAGCCCUCCGUGCUUCCAUAAGCAUCCUAGCCGCACUCUAUAUAUAUAUAUAUAUAUAUAUAUAUAUAUAUAUAUUGAAAAUCCAAAUUUGCCCUGUUAGCAAUUAAUGUAGUUCUAAAUCUUCUGAUAACUAAUAGAUGUAUCUGUUGCUUGGUUCUAUGGCUCAUGAGUGAAUGAUACCCUGGAAGGUUCUGUGGAAGUGUUUUAUUACCUAAAAGGAGGAAGGUGGUGGAUAGAACUUCUUGUGUGGUUGUGACUAACAUGCUCUUUUUGAGUAACUGAGUUGAUUCUUUUGUUGGUUGUUAAGAAGAUAUUUAAUGAUUUGGUUGAUGCUCAUUGUGAUAAUUUACUGGAUUGUGAAGAAAAUGGAGAGGAACUUUCCUUGUAUUUUAUGAGAAGCUAUCUAUACAUUUCUUUCUCAUCCAUUUUUUUGUGCAGUAUAUAAAUUCCAUAAAUUUGCCCUGUGGUUUACCAAUUGUGAUUAAAAGAAUGAACUAUUUUUUGUGCAACUCAUACUCUUACCUUGAUCUUUCCUGUAGUCUAUCAGAAAAUAGCAGCAAGAUAUUGAUGCAUCAUCUUAGAUGUAACCAAGUAGUUAGUUUGUAUGUACAUGAAACUAUAAAACAAAAAAAAAAGGUACUUGGCCACUAUACUCUAGGUCAAGAUUCCUAGCCCACUUUUAGAUUUUUUUUUUCUUUAUUAUUAUUAUCAUCAUCAUUAUUAUUUUGCUCCACUAACUACCUUUGAUGCCCACAUAGUUCAAAGAUAUUUAUGAAUUAGUCUAAUCCUAGAUAAUAAUUUUGAAUGUUACAUUGAGUAAUAUUUUAUUCGCCACCCUGAUUUUUUGCCAUUUGCGACAUUAACGCUGUAAAAGCAUGUAUUUUAUCCGGAGAAAUAUAAAAUUUACACUUCACUGUCAAGUAUAUACUUAAUAUUUCUCAUGUUCUUCCGAUAGUUAGUGGUAGGAUUGAUAUGUCCAAAUCAAAAUUGGUACAUGGACUAAAUAAGUGGAGUAUUGGAUCACCCGCGCGCAUACUGCUUAAAUGUAUCUAAUGACUUACACCCUGUCUCACUUUAUCCACACGUCACUUGGAUUAUUCAUCUCAUCUUAUUAUUCAAUUUUUGCUACGGUUAUACUUACGCUGAACAAAUGAAUGAAUCCUUGUGCAAAGAUUUGGGGCGUGCGAGGUGCGAAUCGAUGUGGACUGGGCCUAUUUCAGCCUAACAUCACACUCCAGGCCCAUUUACGGCCCAGUCUCAAUAACUCAUCUUAGCCUCGAUAUGGGCCUGUAAAACCGAUGAUGGGUGGUCCCCUUCUCCACUCCCCAUUAUAUACAGCAUCAUACGUUUGUGCAUUCAAAAUUAGAAUCUGGUUUAUUAGAUAUAAAAAUUAAAUAUUAAAUAAUUAUAUUUUUAUGAAUUGAUCAAUAAUUCUUUCUGAACUAUUAAGGUACUUUCGGAUUAACUAGUUGCAAAUCAUAUCUAUUUGAUUUAUUCUUUUCUUUUUUUUUUUAGAGAGAAAGGUAACAUGCUACCCGCUUCGUUUAUUUCAUUUAGAAAUAAACUUAGCUAGAAAUGUGAAUCAACUAGAAUUCGAACUUGGGUCUCGGAUAUCAACCACCAAACCCUUUUACCACUUGUGCUAGGGACGGUCGGUUUAAUUUAUCUUAUUUUAAUGUCUAUUACAGAUAUUUAGAUAUAAGAGAACACAUCUAGGGUAUGUUUGGUUCACCUAUUUUAAACUAUGGAAUCGGAAUGAAAUUCAUCAAUUCCGAUAGUUGCCGUUUGUUUUAUAAGAAUCGGAUUCUGAUUCCGGAUUCCGAUUCCCAUUUCACUCCGGAGUGGGAAUGGCCAAAUCCAUUUAUGAUCCAAUCCGGCUUUGAAUUCCGGAUUGGAUCAUUCCAAAGUAAACUAUUCAAAAUCCUCUUUCACCAACACCUACCUACUCUCUCUUCAUCACUUUCUCUUUCUUAAUCAAAACUCUUUUUAAAAAAUUUUAAAUUUUCAUUCUAAUUUCCAUUCCAAUAAUGAAUCAAACAUUUUGAAUGAUUCGCCAUUUCAUUUUUCAUUCCAAAGCAAUUCAAUUAUAUUUUUCAUUCCUAUUCCAAUCAU